rnacentral:lncRNA from 1 species
UCAAAAGUAGUUAUGGAUAACCCUUAUAGUCGAAUGGACUUGUGGUAUAGAUUAGAACUCCAUUGAGAUGUAGCAUCUCACCCCAUUCAUGUUGAUUAUUUUCAGUUAGGUAGGGUCAAGGUAAAGGUAAAGGAAAUAUUCCCUGAAGACUUUAAAGACUUUAUCAUCUAUUUUGUGUUCCCAGUGUAUUUGAUAUGUUUCGUAUUUUGGAUAUUAUGUAUUAGUUUUGUAUUGACAUCAGAUAUUCAUUCAUGCAUUGAAUGUUGGAUAUUUAUAUUGUACAUGUAUUCAAAAUUCAUUUAGCCGCUAUGAUUGUACUUGAAAUUUUGCUCCUCGGGGGGCAAAUGUUGGACCAGAUGUCUGGGACAACUUGCCCAACUUGUUAAACCCGAUUUAACACAAUAUGACAACAAUAAUGAAUCAAAGUAAAAACAAUGAAGAACACAUGAGAACUGGUAACCCAGAUCAGUGCAAAUAACACCUACGUAUGGAGGACGCUCUAUCCAAGAAAGGAAAUUCACUCUUUAAUAGAAUUUGUAGAAAGUGUCUUAGAUGAAAAAAAACUUUGUCUAAUGCCCCUCUUCUUAAUUAUGCCCUUAAUGUAUUUUUAUUUAGGCCUCUCUCUAAAUAUGAUAACCCCCUCUCAUUUUAUUUCAAUCACUAAUCCCAAGCGAUCAACGUCAAUAAACACAAUGAUGAAUGUUGAAUACAACUCAACUAAACAAACUAACUACCACACCCUAUGAAUGAAGCAAUAGUGUGGUGUACAAUUAACACAAACAAAGACUAAGCAUAAAACUAAAAUAAUCAUUCAAGAUCGUGCUCUUCAAGGCAUGGAAAAAGUAUCUAUAUAUAGCAUUCCAUAGUCGGGCUUUUCUCCUUGGGUUUAGGCAGUAAUCUCGUCCAAAUAUGAUGGAGAUUCAUAUAGGAUUUGCUUCUCCAAAACAACUCCAUAAAAUAUUUGAUUUGAUUUGAAUUAAAAUUUAAAUAUCCAUGAUAUAAAUUUAAUUUUAUUAAAUGGUUAAACAAAUAAUAUUGCUAAAAUAUAGCAACAACCCUUAUUGCACAAGUAACAUAAAAUGCAUUAUAUACAAUUGGAAAAUAUGCGCUCACAACAAUAGCUUUGUCUUGUAGACAAGGGUCGCAUGUUGGGACAUUUGUUACCACAUGUGUCAUUAUUCACAAAAUUAGUUGAGGUCAGAUGUGCCACACCAGCUAGAACACCAUAUCCAACAUGUGUUUAUACCAUGUAGUUUUGUAUAAUGUAGUCAAUUCAAAAAGAAACAACAAUCUCCCAUUUGAAAAAAAUUGGCAAAACAACAUUCUUAAAAAACCUACAAGAUGUGCUCCAUAAGUUGAUCAUUAAGUACACCACACACACAUAGAAAAUAAUGGUAGCAACAAAAACAUAAACAACAACAUACAUUAGAGCUAACACAUACCAACAACAAAAAUCAGAGUAGCAACAGCAUAAAUCAGUAAGAUAGUCAGAAGUCAAGUGGUUGCUACACAUCGGUUAAUCAAACACACAAUGAUGCUUCCAUAAACAGUUAACAUAUGCAAUCAUUCAAUAUCAGUUAUUCAUGCAUGAACACACAGUUAGUAGUUAGUAGUCAAGAUUCAAAAGCUACUACUAACACACAAAGAAAUCAGCACACACAAAGUUGAGGGCCAGAUGCCAGACCAGGUGCUUCAACAUGUGUUCGCACAGAUUCAGAACAUCGGUUAGUACCAUUUAAUACUAAGCACAGCAAAGUCGGUCAACAAAUAUCAGCACUUAUACACCAAAUCACAAAAUUAGGAGUCAGUCAAUAGUCACACCACUCCACUACACACCAUUACUCCCUCUUUUUUCCAUAAUUUGGAAAAAUUUCUCCUCGAAAAACGUAUUCAAUCAUUACAACGAUUAGUUGUUAGCACAUAUACAGAUUAGGAGUAGAUAAACAUCAACCAUCAAAACAAACAUUGAUGGAUUUUAUCAUGGGUUUACCUCAUAUGCUUGAUGGUCACGAUUCGAUUUAGGUAAUCAUGGAUGUAUUAAGAAAAUCAACCCAUUUAUUACCUUUCAAGACUAUGUACAAGGUUAUCCACCUAGCAAUGUUAUUCAUUUUAGAAAUAGCCUGAUUGCAUAGUGUUUCGGCUAGUAUCGUAUCCGAUUGAGACCCGAAGUUUACUUCUAGUUUUUUAUGGAAUUUUCAUCAUGCAAUAUGAAUAAUGCAAAUCUCAACACCUUAAAUCAUCCUCAACCGGAUGGGAAGAUAGAAAGAACCAUCCAAAUUGUCGAAGAUAUGUUGCGAGUGUGUAUCUUGGAAAGUGGAGGAAACUAGAAGGAUCACUUACCCUUGAUCAAAUUUUCUUACAAUAAUAGUCAUCAAUAUGGAAUCGGGAUGGUACAGUAUGAAGCCUUAUAUGGUAGAAAGUGUAUAAUGCCUUUAUGUUGGGCGGAAGUUGGUAAUAAGGGGAUUCUUGGACCUGAGAUAAUCCAAGAAACCACAGAGAAGAUAAGAAUGAUCCAAGAAAAGAUGAAAAAGGCUUAAGACCAUUAGAAAAGCUAGGUGGAUCAGCGUACAAGGCUUUUAGAGUUAGGGAGAUAAUGUAUUCUUGAAGGUUACCCGAAGCUAGGGCUAAAGGGACCGCUUAAGACAAAGAAGUUAAGCUCGAGUAUAUUGGUCCGUACUAGAUCAUAAGUUAGGCAGGUGAAGUGGCUUAUUAGUUAGCUUAUCCACCUUCAAUAUUUGGGCUUCAUGAAGUGUUCCCCGUAUCUCAACUUAGAAAAUUUGCUCCACAUUCUUUUUAACCUCUCCUCUCAGAUAUUUAUUUUUAACCUCAACUUAUCCGUGUAGUGGAUUAUGUGAUAAAGACGCUAAGGAAUAAAUAAAUAUCCCUUAUGGAAGUAUUAUGGGAGGAAUCACAUCUAGGAAAAUCCACAUGGGAGCCAGAAAUGCGAGCAAGCUUACCUCAUUUAUUCAUGUAACUUCCUAAAUUCAAGGAAGAAUUUUAAUUUAAGGGGGGAAGGAUGUAAUAACUAUAAUGAUCUAAUUGUGGAAAUAAGGAUAAUUAGUAACAUUAGUCUAACUGGAAUCCUUAAAUAAAAAUGAGUGGCAUGGAUUAUUAACAUUACAUGACUUGCAAGGUCAAAAUGGACUAUCUACAUGACUAGUACUUAAGGCAAAUUUUGGGAAAAGGAGCUCAUUUCUCUCUCUCUCUCUCUCUCUCUCUCUCUCUCUCUCUCUCUCUCUCUCUCUCUAUAUAUAUAUAUAUUAUAUAUAUUUAUAUAUAUUUAUUAAUAUAUAUAAUAUUAUUAUUAUAUAUAUAAUAUAUAAUAUGAUAUAUUAUAUAUUACUAUAUAUAUAUAAUAGUUAUAAUAUAUAUAUAUAUAUAUAUAUAAUAAUGUAGAUAUAUAUCUAUAUAUAUAUAAUGAUAUAACUAUAAUAUAUAUAAUAAAUAUAUCUAUAUAUAUAUAAAUAUCUAUAGAAUAUAUAUAUAUAUAUAAUAUAUAUAUUAUAUCCACAUGAGAACUUAGAGAAGAUUGAGAAGUGCAUGGACGAAAAUUGGGAAAGAAAAGGGAAGGUAGUCUUGAUCAAUUACAUUCCUUAUUGCAUGUCCAAGUUUCAAGAAUACUAGAAGUAAAAUUCAUGUAAAAGAAGAACUUAGAGAAACCAAACUAUCAUCCUCAUAACCUUUCAUCCAAACUCAAGUUUAACUUAAAAGGUGGGAUUCUUACCUUAAGCUUGAGUAUGGGUAGUUCCAAUUUAGGCUAUACCUGUUGGGCAAAGGGAUGGCAAUCUUAUGUUUGAUGAGUCACAUCUCAUGACUUUAUGUGUUAAUGAUUUAUUAAAAGAGAAGGUCAAUCUUAUGUUGGUUAACAUAAAAUGUAUGAUGUGAUAUGUCCAUGAUUUUUUAUUCUUGUGUUUGUCCUUGUAUGUUCCUCCUUUCGUGCUUAGGAUGCUUGGAUAAUAUAGAAACAUGAUACCAUUAAUGAGAAUUAGGUUAAUUGUGUGAAGUAUGUGAAGAAUGUGAGGGGAUUAAUGAAUCCUUAUUCAUAAUGUAUAAUAAAUUGAAUGAUACAUGUUCUUGAUGAUGAAUUACUUGACUUGUAUUCAUGUUGGAUCAUGUUGGUUUGAACAUGGUUUGAAAUUCUGGAUGGAAAUGUAGGUAUCAAGAUCACAAUAUGCAAAACCUGAUUUUUUAAAGCACAAUGCGACACGUCCUAUGUAACACGGGUUGGUUUUGUUCCCCUCUAGUUUCAUGUAUGGGUGCGUGUCUGAUAGCGACACGACCAUGUUAGCUGACAUGGGUGGUAUGUGUUCCCCUCUGGUUUUACUAUGGAAGGAGUUCCCUAAACCCAAACGGCUCGUGUUGGAUGACACGAUUGAGCCAUGUUGUCUAUUUUAAUUUGUAAUCCUUGUUUGAUUCUAAUAGAUCCAUGCCGUCCAGAGUGUCUUAUUCCAAUAAAUAAAACCAUAAUGGCAUGUCGCUCACAUACGAGUAUUAAGUAGUACAUACCAAUAAAGAAUAACAAAUGUAUGUGGUUGUGUACUAAACUAAAUGGAAAUGUAAAAAACCAAGUGAGAAACCUAAUGGUUUACUAAAAGUAUCUAGUCAUACAUUGAUUGUGUAUAUGUAUGUUCACCCAUACCCACGUGUCUAACCGCAGUCCUAAGUAGGUCAUAAUUUGGUGAUCGCACUCCUAAACGGGGCGUAAUGCGAUUAUCACACUCUAAAGAAGGGCGUAAUUUGGUAAGACGAUUUGUGUAAGCACUCCUAAAUGGGUCGUAAUACACUAAGAUGGUUUGCAUACAUCUAAUCUCUUUCCAAAGACGGGUGUAAUAUGGUUAUUGCACUCCUAAGAUGGGCGCAAUGCAAUGAUCACACUCUUAAAUGGUCCGUGAUGUGAAUGAGAUAAAAUUGUGUAUUCAUUGAUUCAUACUCCUAAGAGGGGCGUAAUUUGGUGAUCGCGCUCCUGAAUGGGCGUAAUGUGAUUAUUUAAUAGGGGCAUAAUGCAAAUGUGAUGAUGUAUAUUAUGUGCGUAAAGAACGGUUAAUAGCAUGCCUAACUAGUAAAUGUAAGCUCGGAAGCGAGAGAGAGAUCAAUUGGACAUCAUCUAAGUUAGGCUUUACUUAAUAAACACCAGUUGGUAUAUGGUCUUCUGAUAAUCCAUAUACUCUUGUCGGUGAGCAUUAUCCAUAAAGGUAUUUGUGUUAACAUUCUUGUAUAGCUGGAAGUUAAAAGACCUCAAAUUUAUUUUAUUUGGUUUUAUCUUGUAAAGAACUUAGACGAUAUUGUCAAAAGUAGUUCUGGAUAAUCCUUAGAGCUGAGAAAACUUGUAGUAUAGCUUAAAACUCCAUUGAUAUGUAGCAUAUCAACCCCAUUCAUGUUGAUUAUUUUCAUGUAGCUUGGCCCAAGGUAAAGGUAAAGGAAUGAUGCCUUGAAGACUUUGAAGAUUGUAUCAUCUAUUCUGUGUUUCUAUUGUAUUCGCUAUGUUCUGUAUUUUGGAUAUUAUGUAUUAGUAAUGUAUCGACAUAUGGGAUGUGUUCAUGUAUUGUAUGUUGGACAUUAAUAUUGUUCAUGUAUUUAAAUGUCAUUUAGACGUUAUGAUUGUACUCAAUUCCAAUAUAAUACUUUGAAUAGUGUUAUUCUAGACAAAUAUUAUUCAGGGUGUUACAUUAUUUUUUAAAAUAGUCUACAUACACCUAUAAUUAAACUAUCAAAAAUAUUUUUUUUAAAUAUAAAACAAAUCAUUCUUAACAAAGAUUCAGUUCGGAUAUCUGAUUCGAUUCAAUUUUAUGAAUUUUUUGAACAGUCUUAAUCAUAAGUUGAUUUAACCAAACUAGAGUGUUUGAUUCCUUUUUCUGAAGAAAAAAAAAGGUGUCAUGGUUCUUUUUACCAAAAUUGAGAAAUUAAGUGAGAAAGCUUAAUUUUAUGACUAGUUCAUACCCUCCUCGUAACAAUCGAAGAGCAAACAAAGGAAUUUAUUCUAUUGUUAAUGAGGUUAUUUUUAGUCUCUUUUUAUCUACAAAAUCUUUGAUAACACAUUUAUAUGAAAUAUUAUACAUAAAAUCACAAAGUAUAUGUUAAUUAAUGAUAUACUCCCUCCGUCCCAUAUUAUAAACAAAAUUUAUUUUUUAGAUUUAUUAAAUAACCAAUGUAUCUGAUCUAUAUAUAGACUAGAUACAUUAAUUAUUUAAUGAAUCUAAAAAGAAAAACUUGCUUAUAAUAUGAGACGGAUGGAGUAAAUCUCAUAACUUUAAUUUAUUCUCCGUAUAGAAAAAAUUACAUAUGAAAUUGAGGAUAUGAUCAUCUUUUCGAAGUUUCUCCGCUUUUAGAAUUGUUGUUUCUCAUCUUUGUCCUAUCCAUCCGUGUCCUAUUGUUUAUUGGAGUGGAUUAUAUAGUGCAUAACUCUUUUACAUUUAAUUCUGUUCUGUCAUAUCUUCCAACGAACACAUUAUAAACACAUGAGUAUUUUUAAAGAAAAAUAUAAUUUUUAGUGCAGAGCGGCAUAUAAACAUUUUUAUUAUUAUAUAUUACUUAACAAAGUCGAUAUGUGUACACAGUCCAAGGAUUUCAAAAUUAAUGGUGUAAAAUAAGAAACUAAAAUAAAAUUAAAGUAGUUGUCAAUUAUCUUAUCCAUUAGACAGUAACUUUGUUGGAGGGCCAUGUCCCGUUGUUCAUAUUCUAUCAUAUUGCAACAUUCCACCAGACUUCAUUGUUUGAUUUGUGUUGUUUUCCUAUAGGGUUGAUGAAUAGGUAUUUGGAGGGUGUGAUGAAGUGGGCUAGGUUGUUGGAUCUUAAAUCAUCACCGCCAAACUCUGUCUUCUCUUAAAAAAAAACAUUUUAUUAUUACAUAUGGAUUAACUUAUUAUUUUUAUUGAUAAAACAUUAAACAAGAUGUCUAAUAAGUUGUUGAGAUAUAUUAGUUCCGUUGAGAUGUCUAAUAAGUUAUUGAUUUCAUUUGAUUCUGAAUUUUGUACGAUCUUUUGGCUUAAUAUCCGCUGAAAUUUUGUUCGAGAUACCGUUUGAUUUAUUUAUGAAAGUGUUUUUUAAAAAGAUUUAUUUUAUUCUAGAUGUUGCAUGAUGUAUUUUGAAAAUAUUUAUUUUUUUAAAGAUUGAAUAAGUUAUGAAUUUGUUAGUCAAAUUGACUCUAUAUAAAAAAAGAAAUCAUUCGCUCAUUUCAUGGACUUGUAGUAUAUGUUUUUCUAAUUAAGAAACAAAGUGUUUCUUGCUUAUGUUCAACUUUGCUUAUGUUUUUUCUACCAUUCUUUGAGAGACAGGGUUGUGGUUUUCUUCCGUGAAAUUUAUCACAUUUUUAUUAUUAAAGAAUUAUAAAUAUUUGGAAGAGUGUUUGAGUGGAAGUGAAGGGAUCUCAAAUUUUAAGGGAGAUUAAGUUUAAGUUCAUGGGUAAUAUUAGAAAAAUGGCUCUGAACUAGGGACAAUUCAUAUAAUACAGUUCAUAUAAUACAGUCGUAUACUAUUUGUGGAAUCUUGUCUUAUAGAUUAUUAGUCAAAGAAGAUAAACAUGCUUUUGAUGAUGACAAUUAUUAAAGAUGAGCAUACAACAAGCCAUUGAUGAUAAUCAAAGAGCAUCUAAAGAUAAAACCCAGACUAUUAGGGUUUGAUGGACUUGACUCUCAGAUGAUGGCAACCAAAUAGAAUAUAACUCAAGUCUCAUAUCAAGCUCAAGCAAGUUUCUACAAGGAUAAACUAUUUGACAAGUCUUGAAGCAUAUCAAAGUUUGUCUCGAUGUGUGUGAGUGAAUAUACAUUGUAAAAGCAUAAGAUCUUUCUCAUAAAAUAUAUAGCUAAUCUCACACACACACACAUAAACAAGUUUUCAAACUUAUUUUUCUCAAGAAAACACUUCUAAAAAUGCCUUGAAGUCGUGCUAGACAAGUUAGGAUAUGUCAGAAAAGAUAUAGGCAAGUUUUUGUUCUUGCCAAUCGAUUGGCACCUUAUGGAAAUUGAUUGGACCAGUUUAAAAAUGUGUCCUAAUCGAUUAGGAUAGUACCUUAAUGAAUGGUAAUGGCUAAAUAUAUUUUCUUACUUUUUUGAACUCAUUAAUCGAUUAAUUUAGACUUGUCAAUCGAUUGGGGUAUGAUGUCAAUCGAUUGGCUGAUCGUUAUUGGCCAUAAAAAAAAAAUUGUCAACCUCUAGCCUAUUAAUAGAGGUCAUUUCCCACCUAUUUCAUAUCCAUAAACAUGUUUUCAUUUCUCACUUCUCACUCUCUCUAAAAACUAUUUUGUUUACUUUCUCUCACUAAAAAUUUAGUUGUAGUGUUUUCAAGAAAGACGUUUUGCGAGUGAGGAAUUUGUAAUUCUAGAAGGAUAGAUUUGUAAGUUCACCAGGGAAGUUUUAUUUUUACCUUGGUUGAAUAAUUCAUCCAUUUAGGGAUAAUUUUUUGGGUUCGAAAGUUCAGCAUGUGCGAUCAAGUCACCAUUUAGGUUUGAAAGUUCAGCAUGUUCAAAAGCUUUCAAAGGUUCGAGAUCAGUCUGGUGGUAAAAUCUCAUAGGUUCUUGGUUAGCCCGGUAUAAAAUCAAGUUUCGUUCAAAUCUUAGCCCAGUGUUAAAAGCUUGUUUCGAUUCGAGAUCAAUCAGGUGGUAAAAUCUCAUAGGUUCUUGGUUAGCUCGGUAUAAAAUCAAGUUUCGGUUCGCGAGUUCAGUAUUGUAUUAAAAGCUCGCAAGGUUCAAGAUCAUCCUGUGAUAAAAUAUUUGUUUGAAGCUUGAAGACUAAAUGCUUCAAGUUUCUUUUAGAAAGAAGACUAACCACUUUGAUCCAUCGUUUGGAAGGAAGGCUCACCGCUUAUUUCCUGUGUUUGUUGUUUGGUUGAAAGUUAACUACAAGCUUCAUUUUCUUUGUAUAAAGGGAUUUGAGAGUUACUAAAAGUUCUUAAGUUUAUUGGACACUCUAAGAUCAAAUCUUAGGGACAGGACUAAGUCGCUUUUGGUUGAAUCUGUAUAAUUUCUGGUGUUCUUAUCUCUUCCCUUAAACUCUUUACAUUUUCGCAUUUUUCUGCAAUUUUAUUUUCCGCUGCUUGUUUCAAAAAUCUUUUUUUAAAUGUUUUCAAAUUUGACUUUGAUCCAAUAAAAUUUUCAAAUCUAUGUUUUUCUAAAACUUAUAACUCACCAUCUCUCUUGUGUGUAAAAUUAUGUGUCCAACAUUAUUGACUACUUAUUAUUAGUGGAUUUAUUUCCACUGGACUACUGCCCUUCAGACGUAAUAUGACAAUUACACUGAGUUGAGUUAACAAUUUCUUGUGUCUUUUAAUUAUUAUCUGUCUAAUUGUUAAUCUAUUAAUUCAGAUACUCUUGUGUUACAUAUAUAUAUUCAACAUUAUGUGUGACAAUUUGCCUCUAAACAAACAGAAUUUCAGUUAUAAUAUUAAAUGUGAGAAUGUAUCUUCUCUGCUUCGUCGUGGUUGUGAAUAGAAAAUUAUAAAGAAUAGUUAUUUUAUAUACGGUGUCAUUAUUUUAGUGUAUAACUCAGAUUCAUGAUAUUGUUGGAGGACUAUCAGUUACGAUGGUGUUUGGCCAAACUUAGUGGAGGUUACCUGCAAAUACUAUGUCUCAAAAGUUAGUAUUGAUUGUAAUGUUUUUUAAAUUAGAAAGUGCGUCUUGAGAGGUGAUUAUGAAAAUGUGUCUUGAGAGGUGAUUAUGAUAAGCUUAUACAUAUUUGAAGUUGUGAUAUUAUCAUUGGUCAGCUAAAAAACUCAAUCCUGAAUAGAUACCGACCAAAUAAAGAACCUGAGGUAAAAAAAACUUGCAAUUUUUUUUAAUCAAUGAAGCAUUCCUUUAUGGUAUAUUAUUUGAGUCAUUCAACAAAUUCAUACACUUUUCUAAAGUAACAUUAUCCUCGUUUUAACAUUCCAUAAAAACAAAAUCAAUUGGAUAUGUCAUUUGUAGAAGUAACACAACAAAUCAAACAAAUGUAAUUUGUAAUUAUUUUUCAUAUACCUUAAAUCCAUUAGUAAUACAUUAUGAAACGUUUUAAACAACUUGAUGUAUUUUAACACAACAUGAUGUUUUCCCGAUGCAUCCAAAAUAUAUCUUGAAUGAAUUUUUCAACAUUUUUUAACACCAUACAUUCUAUACUUAACGACAUAAUCAUGGGCAUCCAAUUAUUUUAGUAGUGGUUGCAAUUGGAUACACUAUACUUGGAGACAUAACCAUUUAAUUGGCAUCCGCUUAGAUGUUGAAUUGAAGAAAGUUGUGGUUGACAUAGAACUAAAUGGUUCGUAUAGCCUAUCCAAUUGCAACAACUACUAAAACAACUGGAUGCACGUGAUUAUGUCUCUAGGUAUAAAAUACAAUACAUGGUGUUUAAAAUUUAUCUUAUUUUUAUGAAUUCUAUUUUCCUUUAUAUUUUUAAUAUAGUUUUAAAAUUUUACAUUAAAUAUUUCAUUUUUAAAUUUAACUUCAACAAAAUUUCCGUAUAAAUAUUAGUUAAAAUUUAUUUCAGUAAUUACACAUCUAAAAGCAAUUUAUAUUUUACUCACAUUUAACCAAUAUGUAUUCUACUAAAAUUAAUUAUUGUUUAAAAAAAACAAUUUGUUAGAAGUAGAACUAAAGCAACCAAUAUGUAUUCUACUAAAAUUAAUUAUUGUUUUAAAAAAACAAUUUGUUAGAAGUAGAACUAAAGCAAUUUGUUAGAAGUAGAACUAAAGCAAUACUUAGUUUGAUCUGUUAUAGUAAAGUUAUAUAUACAUUGGACAUCAAAUUAAACAACUAUAAAACAUAAUACACAAUUUAAUUUAUAAUCAUUUUUUCUCAAAAACAAAAGUGAGUUAAUAAUUAUAAUUCGUAACUCAAUAACAAAAAUAACUUAACAUACUGUCAAUAAAUAAAAGUGAGAUAUUUACCUUACCUUAAAAUAUAGUAGUAUAUAAAUGAUUUUGUUAACAACUUUUUAUUAAUAUUUUUUAAAAAUAAAAUGACAAUUAAUAGAAGUUUAAUAAAAACUUAUGCAAUGGAUAGUUGCUUCCUUCACAAGAAAAAUGGAGCAUUUGAACUAUUUAUAGCGGUUUUCAAAUGUAAGCAGCUUGAAGCUCACCUUAUCUAUAUGUAAAAACAGAAUGUAAACCAAUAUUUCAUGUAAUGAAAACUCGGCAUCAAUGUCAUGAAAUCGAAAUUUAAAAACCAAAAUUUCAUGCUACCAAAUAAUAUGCAUAAAAAGACCGAAAUUUAAUCGUCAGUGCUGCACACAUUGAUAAGCUCAUGAAAAUUGAGAAAAUUAACCAUAUCUUUUUUUCCACAUAAAUUCCUUAUUCUUUUAUAAUUUAACCUCUUUUGUUAGACCUGGUUAGUAUCAUGCUUGAUUUUAAAUUUCUAAUAACACUGUCGAACCAACAUAUUUAUUAGAAAACAUUAAAUAAAUUUUUAAUCAAUGUGAAACUACAACUUUUAAAAUUUAGUCUUCUACAAAAAUGUUAUUCAAUUUAAUCACUAAUUUUAUUAAUUUCUAUAAAGAAAAAUUGUACUUUCGGUCCCUACAUUUAGUCCUAUAAAAGCGAAAUAAUGAGGUCGCGAUUUUGUAGGGAUUAAAAAAAACUUUAAUUAAAAAAACAAUAACAUUUUCGAAACAGCAAAUUUAACUUCAAAAAACAAAUCACAAAAAAAUGUAUUCGAAGGAGUACAGAGAAUUCUCAAGAGCAAUGAAUGAGAUAGUAAGAGUCUAUUCAAGCUAAACGGAUUUUAAUUUCCAGAAAUGAAAUCAAAAUGUCAGAAUCUACGAUGAUUACAAAUAAUAUGUACAGUAAUUCCUGUAUUCUGCCAAGAGCAUAAAAAUGAAGCCCUCGGAUAUUUCAGCACAAACAAGGGACUUAAAUUAAUCGCCUUUUGGUUCAGAUUUUACCGAGAAACUUCUGGCUUCUUCGUCAGUAACAUCACUGUAUUGUAAAACCAAAUGACAAUCAUAUCUUAUGAUAUGGUAAAAGAGAAAAAUCAAAACUAGAAUGAAUUGAAUCAAAAGAUAGAGUUCAUGAAGAAACCUGUCUAUAGCUUCUGUUUUGGGAAUCAACGAGACUCUCUUAGUAGCAAGAUAUUCACAGAAACUUUGAAGGUUUUUCUCUUGGCAGAAAUUGCAAAGAUGUUUAAGGAAAUUGUUGAAUUGGUUCGGUUCCUUCACAGAAUAAGUUUGUCAACUCAUCAAGUUACCAUGAAUCUCAAAUACAAACAAGAAGCAUAGGACAAUUUAACAAACAAAUUCAAAUAGGGAUAAGAUAACAGAUAGAAGCCGUGUUGUUGCAGUCACGGAUUGCAGAAAAUACUAGUUAUUUAACGACACUUUUUACUAAUCAUAGCGGUAUUAUAUAACACAGCUAUUUGACAACACUAAUUAGAAGUUAAAUAGGAAAGUCCUAAUUGUUGUUUUUUAGUAUGCAAGAGGAAGGUAGAUGGAAUACCUGCUCAAGGAUGCAACCCUUGCGAAGUGCAACUAAACACUCAACUGCUUUGGCAUAGUUAUCACCUUCAUGGGAAUCCUCUACCAUAUCAAAUAUUUUAUUUUUCAUAUCGUUGAUAGCUUUUAGAACCCAGUCUGGACUGUCUCGGCGUGAAAUCAUGGCUUCAAAAUCUUGGACCGGAGUUGAAUCCCCAAUUUUCUCGACUUUAAUAGACGUAUAUUCGAUGAGAUUGGCAGGCGGGGCUGUAAUGUUUUCUUUACCUUCAUCAUUUAUCUUUUCUCGCAAUAAACGCCUUGGCUUUUUCUGCAUCAAGAUAUUUUGAAUGUAAAACUCAUCUAAAGUUAGUUAUGAUUACUCUUCCAGAAGCUAAGCUGAGAACUCAUUCUUACCAAGGGAUUUCCCUGCUGAUCAAAAGACCUACGAAAUGAGUCAAUGACAGCUUGGUUUUGCAAAACAAGGUCGGUCUCAGGUUCUGUAAUUUUUCGGAGUGUGUAAUCGAGAGGAGGUACCGCAGCAUCUGGAUGCUUUGAUUUCAGAUCAAGAUAAUGAUAAAAGCGCUGAAAGAUAUAUGAAUAUACUGGUUAGCUUUAGCUUAUCACUAUUUUUAAUUUUCUGGGAGAGUUAGUUAGAAAGGAUUAAGGCAUUAAGCAUAAUUUCUCCAAACCAUAUCGCAUCCAGUAUUACCUAUAACCAACGGGGCAUGCUAAAUGCAGAUUCAUAGAUCAAGUAACAAUCAUAAAACAAAAAAAUCCUAUGUUAAAAACCAAACCUUAAACACUUCUAAGAGAAAAAUCGGAAGGAAAAUGAAACAUGGAAUAUUUACCGCCAGUACUGGAUUUGGUGUAAAGUCAGGCAGCAAAACUUCCUUCUCCCCGUCCGGUGCAAGAUCAAGCAUUUUAAUGAAGUUAGCUGCUGAUUCUAGUUGUUGUUUGUUUGGUUGACACGAUGCUGGGAAGUUAGUGAAGGAAGGAAAUUGAAACUCUCGCACAUCCUCAGCAAAAGGAAGAACGUUGAAGUAAAAUGAAUCAGGCUGCACCACGCAAUCAGAGAAACAAGAUAUUAUUUAAUAAAAAAUGAAGUUGCGGAAUAGAAACAGUGAUAGUGAACUAAUAAAUAACACAAGAAACUGAGACAAAAAAAAGAACCUACAAUAUUUUCUCUAUCAGAUACAUUGGGUGUCAAAACCCCAAUGACAACACUCCCUUGUCCAUGUCUCCAAACGCACCGUAAAAUUGCCACCUUAUUCAUUUCCCUCAUAGCCCUUGCUAGGGCAGAAACUGCAAGGCCAGCUUUUGUAUUUCCGGUUUCAGCUAUGAACACAUAGGCCUCUUUCAUGUAUUGGUGUCUUCAAUGGAGAUUUUAAAACAAAAAGAAAAUUAUAAUUUGUUAGGAAAUCUCCUUUAGGUUUUAGGAAAAUUGAAUCAGAUACGUUUUAUUUAAGCAUAUGCAAUCUUACCUCAAUACAUUUGAAGAAUCAGUAAAUCCCAAAAGCUUCACGCCCUUUUCCGGUUUGAACUUUACAGCAUCCCACUCAGCAGUGGAUAUAGGAACAAUUUGAGGCCCAUAUCGAUAACCUUUAAUUCUUUGGUCCGGAGGAAUAACUUUAUCUGGAUCAUCAGAACUCUUGUACUCAUAAUCUAUUUUGACUUCAUGUGUUGCGAAUUUAUCAGAUUGAGGAGCCUUAUCAGAGUAUUUCUUCAGAGUUGGAAAUUUCUCUUCUUGUGUUUUCUUGUAUACCAUAACCUGAGUAUCAUUUAAGUUUUCACAAAAAAAAAUGCUUUUUCUUAGAAAUGUCGCUUUAUUUGUCAGAAAAUAAAAAAUAAUGACACUUAAAUAAGGCAUUCAUCAUGGACCUAGAGAUUGAAUCUACAGGUAUUGCAAAUCUCACCUUAAUCCUCAGUUUUGGGCUGAAUUCAAGAUCCCCUCUGAAAACAGUAACUGGAGUUAUAUUUCGAGUUUUAAGAGCACCAAACAAAGAAAUUGGAUCCUCCACAUACAACAAUCUUGUCGAUGUUUCCUUAGAAAAAAUAUUCAAAAGACGGUCAUUCUCAUCCAUUAUUUCCUUGUUUGCAUCUUGACUAAGCUUUCCUCUCAUAAUUAUACUUUCCAUUCUCAUACCAUGAGCUGUCAUCUGUUUAGCAAUUGUGGUAACUUGCUCUUCUUUUGAUCCUUCAUAAGGAUCUUUUAUUGGACAUUGUGCAUUUGUAAUAAGGCAAAUACGUUUCUUUCCCUUGAUAGUGUCUCCAAACUUUUUUAUUAACAUAUCCAUGGCAACAAUGACAGCAUCAAGAACUAAAAUCGAAGUCAAGGUAACCAGAAAGGAGUAAAACAAAGCUAAUCAUGUUCCUUUGCAUGAGGAAAGGAUUGACUUCUUGGGAAAAUAAGCAAUUAAUAAUUUAAUACAUCACUUAUAUUUUAGGGUUUAAUAUGUUUUUAGUCCCUAUAACAUUCACAACUUUCAAGUUUAGUCCCAAGAUAAAUUUUGUCUAACUUUAGUUCCAAUUUAACUUUUAUAAAUUAUAAGACUAAAGACACUCGUUUUUUGGGUUAUUUUUUAAAUGGGGACAAAAAUUAGACAAAAUUUAUUUAGGGAUUGAACAUUAAAACAUGAAAUAAAUGGCAGUGAGAAUACACAAUAGGAAUCAGAAACAAAAAUCUAUGAAACCUUAUAAUCUAAGAGAAAAAAUUCAUCAAAAGAGAUAACUUUUAGUGACAUAUGGUCUAGUUAUUUUCCAUAAACUAGUAGCAUGGCUAUUUUGAAGUAGGUUAAAAUUCAAAAGCUUUUUUUCAUUGAAUAAGAUACACAAUAUGAGAGGGCGUGUAUAACUUUGUGGAUACAAUCACCGCCAUUUGUUCCUCGAGGAAGUUGUUGUAAAGCCUCAACAAUGUCUCCAUCCACAACUUUAGUAUUUCUCAAAACCACAACAUGCUGAUAUCCACCCACUUCUGUAGUUAGUUCGUUAUCCGUGUCUGAAAAAGUAGUCACAAACAUGGGUAAGAGAUGCCUUUGAUUGAUCAAACUCCAAAAACAACAAAACUACAGAAACUACAGAAGUCUUUUCCUAAUAGGUGGGGUCAACUGCAAUGAUCAAAAGGAGUCAUGAUAUCCUAUCAUAUCAUGUCUAAAGAUAAACCAUUUAAAUCUAUAAAAAAAUUCAAUGGUUAGAAAAAAUAUUUUUUACUCCGUACUUGGUUUUCCUCUUGUUACUAGACAAUCAUCCGUCUAAUCUACUUUUGUUAUUGAUGCUUCUACUUCUACAUGAUGUCUGUACACAUGCCCAAAAUACAUGCUACCUCAACAAUUUCUUUAAUAUAUUCCCUUUUUAAUUCUAUCUUGUUUUGUACAUCAACUCACCUAUCUUGAUAUUCUUAUCUCUACAAAGUUGAACUUUUUUUCUUGUUGGCCUAGUACGACCCAACACAUACUAGAAACCGGAUCAAAGUUCUUGAUUAAAAUGGAAAAUCUUGAUUAAUAGAGACCGGAUCAAAAUUCUAAGUAAGAAAAGGCCAAAGGUUAUGAAGACAGAAGAAUCAAAGAUUCCCCAAGAUUUUCGAGAAACCUAGACUCUCCCCAACCAGAUCCCGAUUCAUUGAUAACCCCUCUCAUUUCCCUCCAACCAUUAUAUUUUCCUCUCUUCUAACUAACCUAACUAGUCAACUGUAGUUAAUUCUUCUAUGUAGAAUGUGUGGCCUAACCUAUAAGCACUACUUAGUUCAUAUCUCUAUCUAGUCAAUGUGGGGCUUCAACACGAUGCUUAAGAGGAACAUAUGAAGCAUGGACUAAUGAAUGUGAAAUAACAAUAAUCUCAACACACACUCUUACACCCAAGACUGAACAUCUAGAGUGUGGACAAAUUCAAGUGGAUUAACAAAGAUAAUGGCUUUAUAAGAAAUCUAGGUCAGGUACCGAUACAAAUACCAUCUUAAAAUUUGAGCUUAUGAUCUAACUCAACCUCACAAUACCAACUGGUAAGAUGAACACCGUCAAGCCUUUAUAAGAACUACUUAGGCCAUAUCUUGAGCUGCUGUGGAACUCUACGACUAAGAUGUAAACACAAGGGUUCCGUAGCACCAUUCCAUCCUAAGCGCCAUUGCACCACACAUGGGGAGCAUGUUGUCAAAAAAUCCAACAGUUAGUUACCAUCAUUUAGUUAGUAUCCCAUGGUAGUAAGGAAGAGAGAGAUAUUACAACAUAUAUAUAAUAGGGUUUAGGGCUUAAGAGAGGAAAAGCAUCUUGUCGAUUGAUUUAAGAAUUGGGAUUUCAGGUUAGAGAAUUGAAAAAAUUCUUCCAUUGCAAUCCACCAUGGCCGCCAUUUCAUAAAAACCGAACAUUUUAUUAUAAUUUUCUACCAUUCUAAUCUAAUACAGUAAAAGGCUUCUAAAACCAAUGUAUUUGACAUGUAACAAGAAUGAAAAACACCAAAUAAGCACCAACAAAGUCAACAAAAAUGCAUUACAUAUAUGCACCAUAGACACCAAAAACAUGACACCCACACUCACAUGUUGACAUUAGUAAUAAUUUUUAAAAAAUGAAUAAAUUAAACAUAAUUACAGAGUGCAUCAUCAUAAAGAUUAGAGUAAAUACCUUCAGUUCCAAAUAAGACAAUUCCCACUUCAUCAUACUUGUUAUAGAUCAACUGCAUAUUAUUAUACGAACAAAAAAAAAAACAAAUAAAAGGAUAAUGUUAGUUAUUGAAGCUCUUAGUAACCAAAAAAUAAACACAGGAAUGGAACAAUAACAGUACAUAAUCGGUGUAAAAAGUUCUACAGAAACUUAAAGGGAUUAUGAAUACCUUCUUCUGUACAAGCAUGGAACAGACUUUCUCGACUUCGGGAAGAACACAAUGCAUGGAUGGUCCCACAUCAAGCAGCAAAAGCAAAGCUUCCUGAAUCAAUUUCACAUUUAACCGUUCAAAAAGGGGAAGAUGAGAGAAAAAAAUAGAAGUAAAACCCUAAACCUAGAAGAAUAGAGUAAGGGUGUUGGAAAAGGAAGAGAAAUGGAACCUUGUUUCGAGCCAUGGAUGGUGGAAGAAAAGAAUGUAAGGUUAAGCUCGGAGAAGAAGACGGAUUCUCUCAAUCUUCUUCCCGCUUCAAAAGGUUUGGUUGAAUACCUAAAGUCAAAUUCGUUUCUACUAAAUUCAGAGUGUUGUGUUGGUUUUGUAGGCUCAUUCUCUAAUGUAUGCGUGGGAAAGUUGAAUUGACUUUUAUUCGUUUUCUACCGUUUGAUAAAUCGGACCGCUAAAACGUUUCCACGUGGCCAAAUUUUUUGUCAAUAAAGGAAAUUAAAACAAUUUUUGGAGAAUGCUACACAAUAGAUCGCCAACCAAAGACAACCUAGUAAAGUGAGGUCCCUUCUGACACGAUAAUAUUAUCUGCGUUAGCGGGUGUUGAGAGGUUGAGUCGACUUCUCACCAUUUUUUUUAGUGUCCUAUAUUUGUAGGAAUAUGGUCACGGGUUUCAGGUGGCUAGGAUUGUUGUUGAUGUUGCCAAAAGAGUGUGUGAAUCAUUUAGAACAAUUUGAAACACUACUCGACAGUGGAAAAAAUACAGUUAGCAGAGUCAGAGUGGUCUGGUUCGCAUGCAUCUGGUGCAUUUGAAAAGCGAUGAAUAAGAAGAUUUUUAAUAAUAAGGUUGAAUUAGUUGAACAGAUGUUUGAAGUUAUUCAAAGGAUUUAUUGGAACUGAUUGAGUAACAAUCUUAAAUUUCAAAAUUGUGACUUGAUGCAGUGGUACUUGAACCUUAUACUAAUUCUUCGUUAAGGGGGAGGGAUUGGAGGUCGGUAGGGGUGUAGCUAUCAGGGGAUCAGAGGUAGAGUUCGUUCGAGCAUAUUUGUGUUGUCGUGUAGCCUGCUUUGUUUCCAACUAUUUUGCAGGUCGGAUUCGUCUAGUUCAAGUGUGAGUUGUAGUAUUAGGCUUCUUGUGACUUUUGUCAAUGUAGGCAGUUUGUUAGUUUGUUGGUGGUAGCUUGUUGUUUAGAGUUUUUUGCGUUAUGGAGCCAGACUGUUUUAUUGAGAGUCUCACCAUUCGCGAUGGUUUAGGCUCUUGUGAGCUUUCUUUUUCUAGUUGUGUAAUCAGUAGCAUUUUUUAUUCUGAUUGUCAUGGGCUGUUGAACUAUUUUUUCUAGUUUUUUAGGUCGCCACAUGUUUGGCCUCUAGUUGGUGCAGGUUAAAUUUCUUAUUCAUGCAUGUUAUUCUAUCUUUUAGGUGUUUCCUUUGUAAUAUUAUAUGUGAUUGCUUUGUAAGGUUUAGUUUUUCUCUUCACAUCUUGUGCUUAGUGUAGACAAUCUAAUAUAUUUAGCUUCUUCACACAAAAAAAGUGGCGAACAAAAUCAAUUACAAAUUGUAUUUGCAUUCAUCUUGUUUUUAGUGGCAUCUAUCAUGUAAAAAAAUAAGAUAUUCUGAAAAAGACAUUCCUACCAUUUUCUCUUUAUCUGACACAUCUUCUUUUCAAGGGCAAUUUUUGUCUAAAAUAACAAUUUCUUAACUAAAUAUACCAUAUGGUUUGAAACAAACCAAAACAUCCUUGUUGUCUCCUCGAAUUCCCUUUUGUUUUUAUUAUAAUACACUUAUUUUGUAACUAUUGCACUUAUUUUAUUUUUACACAGCAUAACCUUUCCCUCUUUAACGAUAUAGCUUUAAAAAAACAUUUUUUAAUUAAACAAUGUAGCAUCACUUUGUCUUUAUAUUAUCGCUUAUUGCACGUUUCCUUGCCUUUCUUUUUCUUCUGCAAAUAUAUCAUAUCUCUCUUCUUGUGUAUCUCUUCCUUCUUCCAACAUUUUUUCAUCUCAACUUCUCUCUUCUUUCUUCUGUAAGUACAACUUCAACUCUACUUCCAACCCUCAUUUCCCAUCGUCUUCCUCCAACUUUUCUUCAACAUGGCAAGACCUUUUGAGAUGAUCAAGGAUAUUAAUGACCGUAAAGAACUUUGAAAUAUUGGUGUCAAAGUCCAUCACAAAUGGAAGGUUACUUCUAAUACAAGGGAGCAUUUUGAGCUUAUUGUUAUAGACAAAUAUGUGAGUUUGUAUUGUCCUUUUUAAUCCGUUUUACCUUUCGAUGUUUGUAUCAUUUUUAUGAUUGUGUCUCUUUCCUUUUACCUAUUUAUGCUUCAUUCCUUUUUAGGGUUGUGUAUUGUUCUGUAUUAUCUGGUUUUCUGAUUUUUUUCCAUUUUUUCGUCAGAAAAUCGUGGUUUUUAAUGGUCUUUGCCCUGGAUUCUAUUUUGUUAUGGUUUUUAUUGGUUUGUGUUUUUUAUGAUAGAUGUUUGUUUCAUUUAUUUUUGUAUUACAGCUUAUGUCAAGUUUAUGGUCCACAUUUUUUAUGGUUUAUGGUUUAGUGUCAUACGGUGAACUGACUUGGGGUGUUUUGCUUAUUAUCGCAAUGUCGCGGAUAGCAAGAGUCGCCACCGACUUUUCUUUUAUCCAAUAAGGAAAGGUGGAAAAGAACAGGAAAGACCUCAAUAGAUUUUGGAUUCGGGAGGUACAUUGUACAAAGGGAAUGUGUUAGCACCCUUUGUAUCCAUGGUUAUCCAUGGGCUCUUAAUUGCUGGAUCACUUAUAUUUUUGUCUGAAAAGUGUUCGUGAAUUGUUUAAAAAAUGUUUCGAAAAAAUUUGUAACUUUGUAAAUGAUUCUCGUAUGAAUGUAUAACAAGUAUUAUCUCGUUGAUGUUGAAAAACGGUUAGAAAAAUGAACUUGGUAAUGAUUCUAGUAUAAUAUACGAAGUGGAUUCUUAGAUUGCAAAAGUGUGAGGGGGAAAGGAGGUUAUGAAUCCAGCAAUAGAGUUAUACCUUCCUAAGUCGUUAUGAACGUCCUACCUUAGAGUAAAACUGUCGCUUACAUAAAAGUAAGUAAUUUUACCCUUUGGAUGUUUAAGCAGUCAGGGUCAUCGAAGUCAUUAGGCAACAGUUGUAAGAUCCUUAGCAUUGAAGGACGAUCAUCAUUUAACCGUAGGCUACAUCGAAGGGUCAUCGAGGGACGAAACAUAUAUUCGAAGGCAACAGCCGAGACUAUGAUUUAUUUAUGAUGAUUAAUCGAAGGGCCAUUGCUAAGUGUACCCACAUUCGCGGACAUGACCGUGGUACCGUAAUAUCGAAAGGCAAAAGAGAGGUCCAAGAUCACAUAUUUAGAGACCGUAUUUAACAAUCGAUUAGGUAAUUAGGAUGAAUCUCCACAUUAAAAUUAAUACAUUAAAAAUUAGGUAAUUAGGGUGAAACUCCACAAGGGUACCCACAAAUAAAGUGGAAACCUAGACAUCAAUCUUUCCUGGGAAAGGGUGAACCUUUACAAAAUCAGCAAACGGGUUAGAGUACCAAGCAGAAUGCAAUCAAGGAUUGCACCGCAAAAGAAACCAAAACAGCAGUAGGGUCACAUAAACAAUGCAUGGCUAUGAUAAACAUGACAGGUUAGCAAAGACAGAAAGAAAUCAGCGACGUCCCGGUCGCCGCUGCCGCGCCUACGAAGGCUUAGCGAAACUCGCUGCAUGCUCGCUUAGCAGUGCAGCAGCGCUGCGGAUUCUGGUUGGAUAACAGCAUAAUCCAGCAAGCUCACACCCUUAUCUACCAUUACAGAGUAUGUGGUUAGACAUUCAGAUGUUCACAUACUUAAAUUCAUAUGUAAAACUAAAGAUAGGUUUCAUAAAAAUUCAAUCAUGAAUACCAAGCAAAUUAAGAACAAAGGUAGUAAUAGCAAGCCAACCUGUUUGUAAUCGAAUUGUAACCAUUGAAAUUGGCCGAUCGGAUUCGAAUAGCGGAAUGACCUUGUGCCGCCGGCUUUCCUCAGGGUUCCUUUAGGGUUACUCGGAAUUCGCAGGGUAGCUCCAGAAUUUGCCGUCGUGCAGCGCUAGGGUGCUUCUAGGUUGCCCAUUCGUCCUUUCGUCCCCUCAUUACUGACGCGGAAUUUGAAAUCCUUUGUGGAACCUAAAGGCCAGAGUGGAAGCCCAGAAGCGUUAUCGGCCACUCCUAGGCGAGCGUGUAGCGAACGUUCGCUAGGCGAAGGAUUUGCUCGCCUAGCGAGCAGGCCAGUUUGGGCCAUUUUCUGGAUUGGGCCAUUCGUGAGCUGGGCCUUUGUUCCUUUAAGAUCAGCGUCAUAAAAAUGAGUCGGAGUGCCCUGAAAAAUGUCUUAAAAUAUUAAUGGGCAAAUUUUGGGGUAUGACAUUUAGCAUCAAGGUUAUUAGUGGUUUGUGUUACAUAUGUCAAUGGGUAUACAUUAUUUGAGGUUUCCAUUAUAUCUUUGCAUUUAUUUUGCUUUAUAUCUUUGUACUAUAAGUAAGGUUGCAUCUGGUCAUUUUAGGUUUAGGUUUUGGCAUCAACUAAUGUUUAGGGUUUAACAUUUACAUGGUAUUAAUAUUCAUGUGAUUGUUCCAACAAUGUUUAAGAAAACAUUCAAUCCAGUUUUAUCGAUUAACGAGACUUGCACCAUUGCAAACUUCCAAGUUCAACUGAAUGAUUUAAUGUUCAAAGCGUCUAACCAUAAAUAUUUGUUGAAAUUCACUGGUGGAACAACAGUAUGAGACAACAAAAAACAUGAAAUUCCUGAUAACGUUAUUAAGUUCACCUUUUUUGCUGAUAUAAUUUUAGGCAAAUGGAAGAAAAAUCUCCUUAUAGGUACAGUUUUUUAUGCCUCAUUUUCUGAUUCAUGAAUCAUUUUGACAUACGCAUUAUAACCAUUAUUCCAAAUAUAAAUACAUAUGUAAUAGGGAUGGUUGGUGAAAUAGGAUACACACAAUCACAAUCAGGGAGUAAAAAACUGCAGGUUAACUUGGUCUUGAAAGAUUUGGGAUAUGUUAUGUUACAACUCAACAUUAAUUUUGGUUUUUUUUCUUACUUCUAUUUCAUUUACUAUGUUUUUUGUAUCCAUUUCACGACACGUGGAAACAACACCAUCAAUUGUACCCUAUGGGAGGCGUACGCUUCGCAAUUUUUCACUUACAAACAGAAAAAGACAUAUGUGUCUUUGCCAACUAUUAUUGUACCGCAGUAUGCCAAAGUUAAGGAAGAAGGUUAUUACAUAUAUGAUGAUGGAAUCCAUUUUCCUUUCCUUAAUGUUGUUGACAUUUAUAACCAUGUUAAUUUCUAAUUAUUGUAUACAACUUAAUGACAUUCUAUUUUUGUAGGUAAGUAUCCACUUUUUGUUACAAACACUUACAAUGUUACCAAAAUGCAUAUCAAUGAGGAUUUUCCUCACAUCGUCGAUUUUCGUAAUAGGUACUCUAUCUACAAUAUAUAUACGUCAUUAUGAUUAGAACUUUUACAUACUUUAGUCAAAUAUGAUUCCUCCUUCAUCCAUGGUUUAGGAUGCCUAAGGAUUAUUUGGUAGAGACUUCAGGCCAAGUUAUGAGCAUACAAUCCCAUCUUUGGUCAUAGAACUCUUCAACAUCUCAGCUCACUCCUUAUGACAAAUUCCUAGCAAAGGUUAUCCAUCUUCCUCUGUUUCGCAUUAUAAAACCACAUGAUGUAUAUCAAUCUUAUUUCUUUUACAAAGGUUUUCUCUCUCUCUCUCUCUCUCUCUCUCUCUCUCUCUCUCUCUCUCUCUCUCUCUCUCUCUCUCUCUCUCUCUCUCUCUCNNNNNNNNNNNNNNNNNNNNNNNNNNNNNNNNNNNNNNNNNNNNNNNNNNNNNNNNNNNNNNNNNNNNNNNNNNNNNNNNNNNNNNNNNNNNNNNNNNNNNNNNNNNNNNNNNNNNNNNNNNNNNNNNNNNNNNNNNNNNNNNNNNNNNNNNNNNNNNNNNNNNNNNNNNNNNNNNNNNNNNNNNNNNNNNNNNNNNNNNNNNNNNNNNNNNNNNNNNNNNNNNNNNNNNNNNNNNNNNNNNNNNNNNNNNNNNNNNNNNNNNNNNNNNNNNNNNNNNNNNNNNNNNNNNNNNNNNNNNNNNNNNNNNNNNNNNNNNNNNNNNNNNNNNNNNNNNNNNNNNNNNNNNNNNNNNNNNNNNNNNNNNNNNNNNNNNNNNNNNNNNNNNNNNNNNNNNNNNNNNNNNNNNNNNNNNNNNNNNNNNNNNNNNNNNNNNNNNNNNNNNNNNNNNNNNNNNNNNNNNNNNNNNNNNNNNNNNNNNNNNNNNNNNNNNNNNNNNNNNNNNNNNNNNNNNNNNNNNNNNNNNNNNNNNNNNNNNNNNNNNNNNNNNNNNNNNNNNNNNNNNNNNNNNNNNNNNNNNNNNNNNNNNNNNNNNNNNNNNNNNNUAUAUAUAUUAUAUAUAUAGUUAUAUACUAUAUAUAUAAUAUAUAUAUAGUAUAUUUUAUAUAUAUAUUAUAUAAUAUAUAUAUAGUAUAUAUAUAUAUAUAUAUAUAUAUAUAUAUAUAUAUAUAUAUAUAUAUAUAUGAUUAUAAUAUAUAUUUAUGUUAAUAUAUAUAUAAUAUAUAUAUUUGUUUUCCAUUUCUUUAUAAUUGAUAUUUCAUUUUAUGCUACUCUUUGUAUUACAUUUUGUAAUACAAUCGCCACCAUUGACAAACUCAUAGCUUCACAAUACAUAUGGUAUUAUAAAGCAUGACAUCAAUGUCCAAAGGUUGUCGAGGGGGAGAAUUCACCCUUUAUAUGUGCAGAUGAGCAUACCACUGAAGUUGAAAUAUGGAGGUUGACUUUUCCUACCUUUCAUGUUGGAACACUUAACUUUUAUAAUACAUUAUACAUCUGACACUUAUGUUUAAAUUGAAGGUUUAAAAUUGAAAGUGAAGUUGGUCAGUUUGAAUGUCGUUCUAACUUUAUCUUUUGAGACCGAGAAUGUGCAUAUCUUUUAGGAGUAUCUGAUGCUUAACUACGCAACCCAAUGAUCUAGGUUAUGAAAUCAGUAUGUCCUUCAUAUGUUACUAACUUGAAUAUUCUUAUAUAGGCCAUUUUGUUCAAUGCAUUAACAUGGUUCCCAACAUCCUAUUAUUUUGUAUACCCAUUGCCUUAUAUAGGCCAUUUUGUUUCUAAUUAUUCUUACUUUACAUAUUCAACAACUUUACGGAAUUGCCUUAAACUAUAAUAUAUUGUCUUUUGUAGAUUAAGAAAAUCGCUGACAAGGAAAAUAUUAUUGAUGAUUAGGAAGUCGUCACAGUAAUUUUACGAGAGAUCCAUUUCAUAUAAAUGAUCAGUUAUCGCACUUGCAUCUGAAAGCUGCUACGGGUGGUCGUAGAAGCUCUUUGGUUUUUGUACCAAAGGCGUGUUAGAGAGUAGUUUUUUUCCCAGUGAGUGCUACGGGCCGUGUUAUCCAACACGAAUGUCCGUAGUAGCUAUUUGGUUUUAUACCAAGCACGCCGUUUUGUGCGUAAUUUGAGUUUCGUGACUCCGUUUGAGGCGUUGGGAAGCUGACACGUAGUACUACCUCAGUAAUAUCUUAGAGGUUAUAUGCAUGUAUGAUGAUGGGAAUCAAACAUUCUAAAUGUGUAAAAUGAGUUGUUUAUUUUGAUUGAUAGUAAAGUGGUUCGUGACUUUGCCGACUGUUGAUGAAUUGGGUGAGUUGAGUUAUUGUGUUAGGGUUGUGUGAACAAAAUAAGUAAUAUUUUGUGUCGGUCUGAUUUCUUCAUAGUCGAGUCGGUGAGUAUUUACAUAAUUAAUUACUACGUCUUCAUUUCAUAUAUAUUUUAUUGAAUUAUGUUGAGAAGUGUAGUUUAGAAGGAACUAUUGUGGUGACCUGAUGUUGGCGGUGUUUACGGUUCGAAGAGGAAUUAUUGUGGUGACCUCAUGUUGGCGGUGUUUAUGGUUCAAAGAGGAACCAUUGAUGAUUAUUACAUUUGUAUUUUGUUGUUGCAUUUCAUACAUCAUGAAUUAUCAGAGAUAGGUGUACGAACUUUGGUCCAAAGACGAGUCGAUCGUUCAGAAGAGGGGAUCAAUGACGAGUUUAGGUUCGAAGAGGAAUCUUUGGUGAGUGGACGGAAUCAGUAACAUAACUUUGAUGUCUAAAAUUGGUACCACAUGCAUAUUAUAGUAAAUGAGAAGAGUAAAUUGCAUUCAUUCUUAUAUAUGUGAAUGAUUAUGUUGUGAGUGAUUAUUAUUGUGUAUGGUGAUUGUUGUGGAUGAAUAUCAUGAAUGAUUAUUUAUGUUGAUUGUACAAUCCUCGAUGUUUUAUGCAUUGUUAACUUACGAGAAUGAAUUCUCACCCUAGUUUGUUUUUCUUUGUUGUUUUUACGCUUGUGAUGCAUAUACUCAGGUAGGGACUAAGAAGCCUUAACAUUUGGUUGCCUUGGAAUAUGGCAUUACUGGCAUUCUUCGCAUUUUAUUAUUUAUGUCAGUGUUAUUUAUAAUUCCCAUGUGUCGCUCUGAAUACUGUAACACUGGGAUGGGAUUGUCGUUGAUGUUUAUUUUCAGAGUUGUUUAAUUUUUAAAACCUUAGGGUUAUCCGAAGUUGUUUUAUGAGUUUUCAAGGAUUAAUUAAAAUAUAUUGAGUUUUCAUAAAUGAAUUCUGCUUUUUUAUUAAAUUGUUGAGAAAUGAUGUUUUAUGUAGAGAAUGUGACACACUUGUGAGUGCAUUAUUUUAAUUAUGAUUUCUGAAUGUUUUAUUAGUAAAGUGUCAGGGGUUGUUAAGAGUGUUACGGUAUGAACUCUUGCAAUAUUUAUCAAAACAAAAAUGAACAUAACAAGUUCAAAUCGGAAACCAUUAAAGAAUGAAGUAGGCAAAGCGAGGACGGACGUCAAACUACUAUAUAUCCUGAUGUACUCUCUCUUUCUUACCCUUACAUUUAAUUUUCGCAGGAUAAUUGCAUGCUUAGAUUUUAAAUUCUUAGCGUGGUUUGUCGUUUAUUCAGUUAGUAGCAAUUUCUUACGUAAGGUUAUAUUUUAUUAGAAUUGGUACCUAAUUGAGCUUUAGUGGUGAUUAAAUUCUAGAAAACUAGUAUUGUGACAAUCCCAUCAUAAUUGAAAUGUAGUAUUGGACACAUCUCGUGUAAUAUACAAUCAUUCAAUUAUUCAUUAUUGAACAAUAUGUGAGUUUUGUGAAUUGUGUAUCUGUCGACGUGAUUGAAAUCCAAUAAAAGUAUAAAUCUCCAUUUUCACUUUAAAACUUUCACGCGGAAUUUGGCAAAACCUCUAAUAUUUCAUUUUUGGAAAAUAUGUUGAUUUUUUGUAUAAGGUUCUAUUCANNNNNNNNNNNNNNNNNNNNAUCUUAGACUGAUUUUCUACCCCAUAUUCUCACCCAACAGUCGAUGUUCUUUGAUCUUUCAUAUUGAUCUAGCUUCAAUGUAAGAUAUUAGUUGUCUUGAUGCGAUGUAUGUAGAGAAAAAUGUGUGUGAUAAUUUGAUUGGAAGAAUUCUAAAUAUUCAAGUGAAGACAACAAAUGGGAAGAGUUCACGUCAAAAUAUGGUGGCGAUAGGUAUACGACAAUAAUUGGCUCUAAAAUAAUUAGGAAAAAUAACAGAUUUUCCCUCGACAUGUCACAAUUUCUCUAAAAAGGAAAAUUGUGAGGGUUUGCAUGGUAUCAAAAUUCUCCAAUGGUACUCAUCAAAUAUCAAGAAAAUUGUAAAAAUGAAAUAUCUCAAGUUAACUGGCUUAAAAUCUUAUGAUUGUCAUGACUUGAUGCAACAACUUCUACCCGUGGCUAUCUGUAGCAUUUUUUUAAAAAAAAGGUAAAAGUAACUAUAAUUAAAUUAUGUUUAUUCUUUAAUGUUAUAUGUAAUAAAAUACUUAAUUUCAAAAAAUUAGAUGAAUUAGAAGACGAGGUUGUUGUAAUUUUGUAUCAAUCAGAGAUGUAUUUUCCUCCAUCAUUUUUUAACAUUAUGGUUACUUAAUUAUGCAUCUAGUUAAGGAAAUCAGUUUUUGUGGUCUAGUUUAUUUAAGAUGGGUGUAUCUAAUAGUGUGAUACAUGAAGAUCUUUAAAGGAUAUACGAAGAAUCACCACCAUUUGAAAACUUCGAUCUUUGAAAGGUACACUACAAAAGAAGCUAUUAAGUUACGUUUAAACUAUUUGUCAAAAGCGGACUCUAUAGAAAUUCCAAAGACUCGUCAUGAUGACAUAUAUGAAGAUAGAGGUACUCAAGGUUUAAAUGUCAAGUAUGAUUCGAGAUGUAGUUCUUCAAGCACAUUUGUAUAUAUUGAAUAAUAUUGAUGAAAUUCAACCUUAUUUAUAUGCUCACAAAAGACUUAUCAAGGAAAAAUAUCUUCGAACGAAUGACAAGUGGUUGUUGAAAGAGUAUAACAAGAAUUUCAUAAAUUGAUUUAAUGAAAUAAUUUCUAAUAAUGAUAUUCCAUCAGAGACAAUUAAAUGGAUAUGAUACAUGUAUAAAUUUUACUUUUAUAUAAAAUAUUAUAUGAAUUUGAUUACUCAUUGUUCAUUGUUUGUGUGUGCGUGUUUGCAAAAGCAAAGAUUUUGAGUUACUAGAAUUUCAUAAUUUAAAGCUACAUUAUCUUUCUACAUCCUUUAGUUUUAUAAAAUCUCUUGAGAGAUCAUCAUUAAAAGAUUUGUAUGAUGAUAUGUGAUACAUAGUAUGGAUUAAUUCAUAGUUUUGAAACUUGCAUUAUAUAUUUUUUUUCUAGCCACUAGUUUGAUGUAUUUCAAUGAAGAAUGUUCCCAUUAAAUAUUAGGUAAAGAAGUUAAUAUGAUUUGAGUCUUAUUAUCUUUAUGAUCAUGUAAUCAAGAGUUAACAAUUUAGUUGCUUGAAUAAUCAUACCAUCAACUUAAUCAUAUGUUUCAUUCAAAAAUUAAAAUUUCAACUUUGACAAAUAUUAAUGUGAUAUCAUGGUGACAAUGAACAUCUUAUAAUCAUUAAAGUGCUUCAAAACCUAAAAAAAACACCAUUAAAGCACCCAACUGAGAGCAUUAAAAUUUGUAAAGGAACCAAAGAUACAUGUUAUACUAAUAUCCAAUAUUAUGUGUGCAAGCAUUGAAAAAAUACUAAGAAUUAUCAAUGUUUUAGCCUUAACAAACCUAAGCAUGGUAAUACUCCAGACGUUUUCGCUGUAAAUUAUUUUUUUACGGGAGAAUAUUCAUUUCUAGUCUCCAAAAAAUAUUCUGACUUUAGGAGGGAUAAAAAGAUCCAUCAAACGUCACAAAUUAUCAUGUACCUUUAGAUCGUCAUUGUUCAUAAAAUAUUCAACGCACGCCAUAGAAUCACUCUUAUAGUAUAUUUACCCUAUAUAUAAAUCCUCUAAAUGAUCUCCCCUAAUUUAUAAAUUUAUAAUAGAAGGACCUUAAUAAUUUCAACCAAACCGUAAAAAAAACAAGUGGUUCAUUCUAGUUACCUGUAAUGGGAUUAAUGAGCUGAUUAAAUAUAAUAUGAUGAUAUGAGAUUAAAGGGUUAGCGUGAACUCAAGCAUUACCUUCACUAGAAACCCAAGCACCCGAUAAAAUAUGGAUGUCUCAGUUAUCACUGAUAUUCUAACAUUGUCAUUACUCUAACACCAUCAUAAAAGUCUAAAUAUUACGCCAAAUGUAACUUGGAUUAAGACCGACCAUUGAGCCCACACAAUUUUCUUAAAACUUUUGGUUUCCUGAAAGACCUUUAAAAUUAUAAAAUAUGAUUUAUAUAACAAUUUUCAACCUUGAUAGGUUAACCCUAAAAAUAUGAAGAAAGCACGUGUUUUUCCAUUUCAAUUAAUUUUUUAAAUAGUAUAUUGAAUAUAAUUAUUGAUAUUUCUUAAAUAACGAAUUAAAAUAAUAAAAGAAUUGUCCUCUGCGAAAAUUAAAAAUGAAAAAUAUUAGUUUUCCUUUGAUGUAUUCUGUUAAAUAUUGAAUUAGGAAAACGUAAACAUCAAGCCCGUCUAGCUCAGUUGGUAGAGCGCAAGGCUCUUAACCUUGUGGUCGUGGGUUCGAGCCCCACGGUGGGCGAAAUAUCUUUUUGAAGUUUUUGUCCAAUCAAAGGGCUUUAUCAUUUUUUUAUACAUUGAAUUAAACGGGCCCAAAUUCAAAUUGGAAUUCUCCUCUCUAUUCAUUACAAAAAUAUGAUAAAAAAAGCUUUCUAAAAAUUGCUAAUUAUUUACUUAGACUGAAAAACUUGCCAUUAACUUUGAACUCCAUAUACAUAAAGAUUAAAGGCUAACUUAUACUUAUAAUUUUUUAUAUUCUAGGUUGUAAUAUAAUAUCUAUAAGGCAAUUCCAAAUAAUUGAUGCAACAUAUUCCUUUAAUAAUAAGUAAUUAUAAAUAGAUAAAUUCUUUAGGUAUUUAGAGUUUUGAUUAAUAGAUAUUGAUUUUAAAUUUUAAUUUAUUUAAAUUAAAAUAAUAUUAAAAUGUGACACGACAUGAAAUAACAAUAUUAAAUCUAAUGACUUAUAUCUAUCCAAUUUAAUCUAAUGACUUAUAUCUAUCCAAUUUAAUCUAAUGGAUAGCAUAGUGUUCACUAAAUAAAUACAUAUUUACUCUUGAAACAAAAAGAAUUAUUGUAUAGAAAAUAUUUUGUAAUUUCGAAACAAAGGCUUGUAAUUUCGGACAUCUCGUAACACUCGACGCCGACAGGUAGGAUUAUUAUAACAGCCUAGAAUGAGAUUAGGGGUGGCAAACGGGCAUGCCCGUCCCGUUUAGGCCCGCCCCGCAAAAGCCCGCAAAAAAACAGGGCGGGGCGGGGCAGGGCGGUCAUAGUUAAGGAUGUGGGCCUAAAACUUUGACCUGUCCCGCAAAAAAGUGAGGGCGGGGCGGGGAAAGCUCAUGGGCACUGCACUAUUUAAGCCUAAAAAUGCAAAAAUUUAUGUAAAUACACGUGCCCGCAAAAGCCUGCGAAAAAAACGGGGCGGGGCGGGGCGGACAAAUUUGAGGGUGAGGGCCUAAAUACUUGGUCCGCGCCGCACAAAAGUGUGGGCAAAACGGGCAUGUCCAGCGGGCCGAGCCCGUUUUGCCACCCCUAAAUGAGAUGAUGUCAAAUGUUGUUUUUGCUAAUGGAGUGGUUGAUCUGGUGGUUGAGGAUGUUGUAGAUCUAGUUGCUGUUGUUGAUGAGGUUAUUGAAGAGGCGGGUUUAGAGGAGAUUAUUCGCGACAAUAUGGUUAUGUUCAGAGUAUCCCACGACCAGUUCCAAAUAUACCAUCAAUGGGCAUUAAUUGGUGAUUUUAUAGUAACUUCAUCAGCUCCGGUCGUGUCUUUAGAGAUCACUCAGUUAGGGUUCAGCAUCCAUCGCAGUGUGAGGAUGAUUACUUAUAGUGUUAUCUCAUUGUAUCACAUCUUCACAUCAUCCCACUUACGACUGAUGUGAGGCCUUCUGGUGUUGGGGUACCUGUUGAUGAUGUGGUGUCGCCACUUCCCACAGUUAAUGUCGAUGCCCGACAAUGCCUCCAGGUGAUUGCAGUUAUUAUGGAUAACCUCAUGGGUUUGGUAAAUCCAUAUUGUAAGAUUUUAUAACGAAUUAUCUCGGACUGCAGACAUAGCCCGUGGGGGCCUAUUUAGACAUCUUUUGUAUAUCCUAGAUUUCGUAUAUUAUGUAUUAUUUGUAUACUAUUCAGACUUUUUCAUCAUAACUUUUUAUUCCACAAUAUUUUUUAUGACAUAACUUAAACAUAACUGAACUACAGAUGCAACAUCAACAUUAACGUAAACAUAACUUAAGAAACAAUUAAAUAAGAAAAAUUUAAACAUUGCCACAUGAUUAUGGACGUUUCAACAUCUCCAUUAUGUCGUCAACAGAUCUUGAAAGUCUAGCAUCUAACUCGAUCAACCCCUUUGUUAUCCUACGGAGAAAUGAUCUUCAUAUUUCCUUCACAUUUUCGUCGGUAUCAAUCCAAUCUUCACGAAACUCGAUCUUUUUCACCUUCUUAGUUUCAGUAUCAGACGAUAAUUCAUUCAAUUUGGACAUCAGAUUGGCUAGAGAUGUGUUGUCAUCCGAAAGUCGAAACUCUGUGGGAGGUGAAGCUUUGUUAAAUUACAUGUCUACCUUAAUCAGAAAUCGAGGAAGAUCCAUUUUUUAGAUGUUUCUAUCAAACAUAUGAUCCCUACUUAUACAUCUUUGCAUUUACUCUAGACCUUACAAAAUUGUUAAUGCAAUCACAGCCCUCCAAAAUUGUCGACAGAAUCCUGAACGUCCAAAUAAUUAAAAAAAAAUCCUACCAAAAAAUUUAUUUAAAUUGAAAUUUACGAUGUCCACGUGUAAAUUUUGAAUUUCCAAAAAUUAAUUAAACAAAUCAAAAAUUUUAAAAUAUCCGGUAUAUCAAAAACUUAAAAUGUAUUAUAGAAAAUUUUGAAUUGUGCCGAAAGUUUUAUUAUAACUACCAAAAAUUCCGUUCAAAAUUUUCAUUCGAAAACCUUUAUUUUCUUUUGAACAAAUGAUAAAUUCAAGCUUGGUAUUUAAAUUUGAAUUAAAAUGAAACAAUGUUAGACAUAUAAAUAAAAUGAAUAAAUUAUUUUGUUUAAAUUAAUACUUUUCAAAUAACAUACACUUUUAUUUAAUAUUAUUUUACAUAUUAUUUAAAAAAUAUUAAAAAGUAUAUGUAAAAAAUUACGGUCAAAUUCCGAUUAAAUUACAAUUUUGAUUAAUUACAGUUCUGCUCACUUAAUUUUAACUGAAUUUACGAAAUUAUUUUCUCUAUUUAAAAUUAUAAAAAAAUUGGUCUCCUCUCAAUAAAAAAUCAAUGAAAUUUUUAUUUUUUGAACUUAUAUUUUCAUCUUUAAAAUUUUACACUAUAAGUUAUCGUGUGUUAAUUGAAAUUUAUUAUUCAAAAAAUAAAAAUAUUAUUUUUCAUUUAAUAUAUCUUUUAAUAAAUAAAAUAUAAUCAAAUUGAUCCUUAUCAUCUUUCUCUUGGAUAUUGGAUAUCUCUCAUGCAUUAUCUAAUUAUUUUGAAUGAGUAUACAAAAAUAUUUUAAAUAAAAUUCAGUUAAAUAAUAUAAUAAAAUAAUAUAAACCCUAAGGUAACGUCAUUGUAUAGACAUAAGAAAUCUGAAGUAACACACAUGCUCAUAAGUGCAGCCGAAAUCAACAAAAUAAAGUCCACAUUUAUAAAUAAAUAAAUAAAGUUAAAUUGAUACCAAUUGGACAUCACCAUCAUAAAACCAAAUAUAAAAUGGUAGUAAUUGAAACUAACAUGUAUUGGAGAUCUACAGUGGAAUUUGAAUAAUUUGCUUUGUUAAGAUUAUGGAUACAAAACAAUGAAAUAAAGAUCAAUUUAGAUAUUUAUGGGAAAGGAAAAACAACAACAAUAAAGAAUCUUGCAAUAACAAAUCUUUUUAGACAAUUCUAGUAGAAGUUAAAAUAGCUUCUGUAUCUCAAUUUUUUAGAAGCUCUCAUUUAACUUCAACAACUUUUUAAGGACUUUGAAGAACCAUAAACUCUUUUUGAAUGAUAAGCUUUAGAAACUAAGAUAAAUAUGGCCUUAAACUAACAAAACAACCUAUUGUGGGAGUUGAAUAUGCAGUUUUACCUUAACUGUUGAGCAAUCAUUGACCCGAUUUAGAUUUUCCUUUAGACUUUCUUUUAAAACUAUUAUUCGGAGGUUGUUCUUGUGUUUCUUGCAGCACUUCGCGAAGCAUUUGUAACCAUAGCUUUUGAAAGUGAUUGUUAAAACCCUGUUGAAACCAAUCCAAAAUUUCUGAAUAUAAUUCUCUUGGAUUCUCCUUCCACGCCGUUCUUAACUUGGCAGAGCUAUCAAUCAACUUGCUCUCUAACUUACUCAACAGAUUUCCCACCCUUUUUUGACCAAAAGCUUCUCUCCUCAGAAUACUUUCAGGAGGGGCAGACAUGUAUUUUCGAACGGAUUUCAAACAUGGACACACCUGACCUUCGAGUAAAGCAUAGGCAAACACCUGCACCCGAAGCUCAACAUUGUUAAUGGGUAAUGAGUGCUUUGGAAGCUCCCAACAGAAGCGCCCAAAGGUUGGGAUGACCCAACAUUUUACUUGGUCAGACUGCGCAUCAUAAAAUGGUCUGGGAUCUGUCAGGGGUGGAGAGAAGGUGCACGAAGACUUGGCAUUCUCAACUAGCCAAGUUGGAUCGACGCUCGUUACUCCAUGCAUGUAUGCUCUCUUUGCACUUGUCUCCCCUUCUUUGUUUGGUCUUUUUGUCUCUAAUAGUUCAUUGUAAACCAGAAACUCAGGGCGUGCAGUAGAAACUGAUGACCAACGAUGAAUGAAAAUACUUUCAUCAACCAUGCAUGAUUGAUACCUACCAACACGAGAAAUCGUCUCUCCAUCAGUGGGCCCAUAAGAAAUUGGAAUACGUUUAGCAACCCUAUCUGCCCAGCCAGCACAUAUUGCUUGACAAAGGAGCCUUUCCUCAACCAGAGGAAGAGGAUAGUGCACAGAAGAAACUUGCCAAACACGUUCCACAUCGUCUAGAGUUCCAUGAGUCCAUGAAUACUCUUGUUCUAAACCACCUUUAUCACUCUGAUAAAAGACCAGUUUGAGUAGCUGCUGUCUAAGUUUGGACAUUUCAUCCAUGGUUUUGAAAUGCAAUGCAUUAUCUUCACAAAAUUGUACCGAAUUCUGUGAAUAUUCAAAACACUGCAAGGCAUAUGCUAUGGCUAGGGCAUCACUACUGACAAUUCGAAAUUUUUCACGAGCAGCUUUAGAGGUUUCUUUAAGUUUCUUUCUCUUUGUCUUUUCUUUUUUAUCAAUAUUGUUCUCAUUGUCUCCCACGCUAGAUUUCUUGGACAUUUCUGAACCUUCGCUGCUAUCAUUUCUUUCAUAUUGCAUUACAAAAGGAUUUGGUAAACUCAAAGCAGCAGCAGCUGCAGCAGCAUAUGCCAAAAGCAGACUUGAACUUCGAACAUGCUUGUGUCUUGUAUUUUUUAUAACAGUAAGGAUCAUUCUAGAAUGACGAGGACUCAAAGGAUAAAGUGCCAUGGCUUUUCCCAAAAGUGUAAGUUCAUCCUUACAGUCAAGUGCUUCAAGAGCUCUCAAGCAAUUCUCAGCUUCAAGCAGGGAAGAAGCCUUAAGAGAAGUAGGAAACGGGAAAUUCGCAACCUACAAAAAAGAUCAUAGAAAUGAAAAUCCAAUUUGACCAAGAAUCGAGUAAAUCAAAUUAUCAAGCAAUAGAAAGGCUCAAUAAGCAAGUAGAUCGAAUAAACACUCAGAAGUGAAAUGAAAAUAUCAAAAUUACCUUCUUAAUAUUCAUGGAUUUCAAGAGAAGGACAACACCAUGAACAGGCACUUUCUCAACUUCAGCGGGAGAGAACUCAGGAAACUCAUUAUUAAAGGCUGCAGAAGAAUAUAGGCGAUAACUAUGCCCUGCUGCAGUUCUUCCAGCUCUGCCUGCACGUUGAUCAGCAGAUGCCUUACUUAUCCAUUUCACUUCAUAUGUCUCCAUGCCAUUAGAGGAGUUGUAACUCUUUACCUUUUCCCUUCCAGUAUCAACCACAUACUUUAUCCCUGGAAUUGUUAAAGAUGUUUCUGCAACAUUUGUAGCAACAACAACAAGCCUCUCUCCCUCCUUAACUUCUUCAAAUACACGAAGUUGAGCUGCAGCAGGCAGCAUAGCAUAAAGUGGUAGAACAAAGAGUGCACCUGGAGAAGAACUCUGGUUUUCUCUAGUUAUUUUCUCCCUGCAAACUUUUGAUGCGUCUAAACCAUCUCCAGUAUUCACCGAAGCUUGCCCAGACAAGCUUUCAAAAGCAGCCUUCAAUGAAGCAAGACUUCCUUCCUUUCCCAGGACAUCCACAAUAUUACUAUUGUUUUCUGAAUCCUUGUGAUUAUUAUCAUCAUCAUCAUUGAAUUCCAACUCACUCUCCGUUUCUGAAUCAUAAGAAUCAGAUUCGUUCGCAUCAAAAUUAUUGUCAUCUUCAUCAUAACUACUAAACCUAUCAGUUUGCUGGAUGGAUGAACUUCCAGACACCUCAAAUGCUUCAUUAAUCUCAUUAAUAUUUAUUCCCUCAAUAGAACUUGUUUCAUGGACCACAGUGCCAUCAUUUUCCACAGGUCCUUUAACUUUUUUCAUGAUAAACUCCUUUGAAGCUUUGCGUAGCUUCCUGCACAAGUCCUCUACUUCCCUUUGUCCAGUGACAAAGACAAGUAUUCCCCCAGAUGGCAGCCUCUUGUGAAUUGCCAGGAUCUUCUUAUACGCUGCACCAAUAUAAUCUGUUAUCUCGGUUUUUUUUGCAAAAUACUUGGUAACUGGAAACUGCCUUGUAGGAACUUCUAUCACAGGUGGGGGAGUGUAGAAUAAUUUUCCAGAAGUAAAGUCUUGUACACGCAAGGUGGCACUCAUCAGCACAAGUUUUAAUGGAAAAACCAUUUUUUCAGGACUUAUACUUUCUCCCGAAAGGAUCAUCUUCUGCUGGUCAUUAUAAAUCUGUCAUAAAUAGCAAGGUAAUGAGCAUGCAGAUUAUAAUGCCGGUGGCAUAAAUAAUAUAUGUAAGGAAAUUAUAUAAUAAGAUAUUACAAAUUUUCAUUGCAUUGGUAAAAUAAACCACUAUAAUUUACCUUUUGGCGAGUUCUAAUUACACGCGAGAGCAUCCCAAUCAGAAUGUCUGUGUUCAAGCUCCUCUCAUGAGCCUCAUCAAGAAUUAGGACGGAAUAACGCCUCAAUAAAAUAUCAUUCUGCGCCAGAAGGUAUUCAGUUAAACAACAAAAGUACAUAUGAUUCUGUAACUCAACAUGUUUUAGAGUAACUAAGGUAAGUAAGAAUGAUUGCAUCAGAGCAUCAUAUCCUAAUAUAGUGUAGAAUCAUCAAUAUCAUCACAAAUUAAUAAACAAUAGCAAAACUCCACAAUAGUAGCAAUGAUACUAGCAACUAUUAUGAGUGAUAAGCAUCAACAUAAGAAAGACGAAAAUCGUAAUCAGUCCAUUGUCAGUUUCCAAACUAAUGUGAUAUGAAAUAUACAGAAUCAUAAAAUGCAUGUUUAUAUAGAGAUGAUAAUAUUAUCAAGUAUUUUGCCUAAAAAAUACAUGUUCCUAAGUAGAUGAUUUUCCUGGAAUGAUGGACUAAGAUGUUCUAAAAUGAAUAAUAAAUUCAAAGAUUCUUUCCUGCAAUAAGUUUAUGUAACUUACACGGAUCCUAAAUACAAACAAAUGUUUCUAACUUUCCCAAAAACUGAACAAAGGUUUCUCCCUAUUUAUCAUUUGUGACAAGCCUACUCCGUAAAAUGAAGGAAUGGGAAACAUGAGGUAAAAUAUAACUACCUGAACUUCUCGUAGCAAAAUGCCAUCAGUCAUAAACUUGAUAGAGCAAUUUUCUCCAAUUCUCUUGUCAUACCUAACUUGAAAGCCAACCUCCUUUCCUAGACGAACACCAAGCUCAUACGCCACACGCCUUGCUGUGGCAAGAACAGCCACCCGACGUGGUUGAGUGACACCAAUAACACCACUGCGGGCGUGGAACUUGCUUGAACCAUAUCCAGCUUCAUAAAGAAACUGAUAAAUUUUGAAUUAAUGAUAAAUUUAUCACUCUUAAUCAAAAGUAAGUUAUAGUUUUGAAUGAUAGACGAUACCAUCAUACCAUACUCCAGUAAAUAUAUACUAACCUGGGGAACCUGAGUUGUUUUACCACAUCCAGUUUCUCCACAUAUGAUGACACUGGAAUUGUAAUUUAUAGCUUCCAUUAUCUCUUGUUCCAUCAUUACUAUAGGAAGAUCCUUUCUUUUCUCUUCAACCUCUGAUGGCCUGUAUACAUGGACAACAGUAGGAGUAGUCAAAAGCCUCUGUGAAACAAUUGGAAGGUUGCUCAAUUCGCUGAAAUUGGCGGCAGGGUUUUCAUCUGUCUUGUCCUGUAUCAGGUAGAAAGUGCAAAACAAAAGCAUUAAAGUAACUAGCAGAUACUCAAUAAGGUGAUAUCUUAACAAACAAUUAAUAAAAGCAUAACCUAUUAAUUAACCAUUAUAGAAAUUAUAGGCACACUACAGUGCAUAUACAAAACGACUUCUUCCAAAUUAAGAUAGUACUAUAUGAGGAAAAAAAAGGAUAUUUUAAUAUACACAAAAAAAGAAGAAGAUAAACAUAUAUGAAAACUAAAGCUUAUUACUUCACAAGUGUCAUGUAUUCAAUGUUCCAAAUGAAACAGAUGUGUUGUAUCUUGUAUCUUGAUCACACAGAAACCUAUAAUAGAGAAGGGAUUAUACCUUUGACUUUGUGCUUUUUAUCUCGGUAAUAGAACGAGAAAUGGGAGAAGAACUUCUGAUUUCAUCAGGUUGCUUGUCAGUGGAAAUGUCAGAUUCAUAAUUUACAACUUCAUUUCCAUGAACUGGUUCUUGAGAGGACUCCAGGGGAGCGGAUGUUGUAUACAAGAUUUCUCCUUCAGUUCUAAAAGGUUGUAUGAAGUCAUUUUCUUUAGAUUCCUGCACCAAAUGAUUCUCUUCGUCUUCUGACUCAGGUUCAGUUAUACAUGGAAAAUCCUGUUUCUUGGACAGGUUAUUAUCAUGUGGAAUCUCCAAUCCUUCUUUUAAUAAAUGUACUGCUCUCCUGCGCUUUUCCUUCACAGUCUCCUCCUACAAUUUAUGAUGGCAACAGUCAACAGGCAAUCACAAUAUUCUCAUAAAAGUAUCAUUGUUUCUGAAAAUACAAAUACAUACCCGGUUGAUAUUGCAUGAUGACUGCAAAAGAGGAAACGCGUACUCAGGAAGCAUGUUGUUACUGAAACAAGAAUUUGAAAAGUUCCAUAUUUUGAUUAACAACUCAGCGCUUAGCAUUGAAGCAGAAACUGUAACAAGCUAGUAAUUAAUUAACUUACUUUAAUGUCUUAAUGGCUUUUUCCAUCAAAAGUUGUUUACCCUUGUCAUCCUACACAAAUGAAAGGAGCCAAACAAAUUGAGACACAAAACAAAAUAAAAGAGAACUAAAAGCAUUCCCUUUUCUCCACCCCACAAACCUCUGACUUCUUCAGCUUCCUUUUCUGAGUUUUGCUCAAUCUCUGCUUCUUACUUGAAUGGACUUUGCCGCGCUCCUAAUACAACAGAAUUUCGAUCAAACAAAGUGUGUAAACAUGCAACUUGAAGGAACACAUAAUCAUGUUCAAACUAUCCCUACCUGUUCCAUCCCUUUCUUUUUCUUCUUCUUACUUGGCAAAAUUAGUACAUUACUAUCAUCACCUCCAUCUUUCCUUUUCUUCGUCUUCUUAGUCGGCAAAAUUUGUGCAUUAUUAUCACCACCUCCAGAACUACCUCAAAAAAGAAAGAAACUAUAAGAAUAAUUUAUAUCAUUAACCAAACAUUGAUUCACUCUUCUUUUCUUUUUAAGCAUAAAAAAAGUCCUCCGUGUGCAUCAAAUCAGUGUUGUCAAUCGCAGAAAACAGUUGUUUGUUCAAAUUCAGCUACCAACUAACUGCUUAUACCCACUAUGUAACAACACUUUGUACUAAAUAGCAUAUUGUUAAACAAUUGCAAUUUAUUCAAAUUCCAUUACGCUAUAGCACAAGUAUUUAACAACAUUGCAUCAAAUCAUAUCUCCCUACUAUCUGAUGUCCAUGCUCAGCUAUCAACUGCAUUGGCUUAACUAUCUCACUACUAUACAUCACUUUGUUACAUUAAUUCCUAAAAUAUCACCACAAAAUAAUUAUGUAAUGAUGAGUGAGUGCAUGCCAAUGAAACUCUUAUAAAUAAAAGAGGUAAUUUACCUUUGAGAAUUGAACUCGGCAUGGUUUCCGAGAUUUUCCAAAGUUUCCAUUUUGAUGUCCUUAGAAGCCAAUGCUAAAAACAUAAAAUUGAAACAAAACAAUGAGAAGGAACACUCACUUUGAGCCCUAAUUUGUACGACGGCAUUUAACAUAAUCAGUGAAACAUCAACAGAUAAAGGAGAUAGCGAGGUGAAGAGAAAGGGAACGGACCUGAGUGACGGCGGUCCGAAAGUGAGUCCGAAAGUGAGUCCGAGAGGCGCGGGACGGUUGAUGGUGGCGGAGGUUUCAGCGGUGGAGGGCCGGAGAAGCAGUGAAGAUGGCGGUGCAGGCGCGCUAUGGUCUGCCUCAGUUCCAAAACUUCAGUCAUAGAAGGUUAUAUGCAAAAUACCAUUUUAUUAUAUACGGAUUAACAAAAAUACCCUUAGGUUUAGACCUAAUAAUUAUUUUAUAAAUAUAAUUAAUUUGUUAUAAAAAUAAGGGUAACGUUAAUUUGUGCCCUAAGGGCAUAAGUUAAGAGAUGAAUAUAGAAAUAAAUUCUUGAAAAAUAUGAAUUGAAUUUAUUAAAAAUUUAUCAUUAAAAAUUUUAUUUAUUUUUCCAAAACAAAUUUUCUAUUUGUGGGUUUCUUAACAUGUGUCAUUGGGGUACAAGUUAGCAUUACCCUUAAUUUAAUUAGUAUCUAGAAGGAAGGUAAGUAACUUAGGAAAAAUGUCAGGUUAUUACAUCCCCCUUGAAUUAAAUGUCCUCGAAUUUCAACUAAACAAGAGGUCAUAAUACUCUUUCCCUUGCCUCUUUUGGCUAAUACGUGCCUCCUCGAAUCCUUUUGAUCCAUUGGUUCUUCUUUUCUUAAUGUCUUUUUAGUUUUUUACUCUUCUACAAUUCUAUCUCUUCCAAUAUGCCACUCUGGUACGCUUGGUUACGGAUUCUCCUAGGGUUCGAAACCCUCCCUUCCUUACACUAAGUAUACAAAGCUUCAUAAGUUAUUGCACUCUACUUAAUUGGAUAUUUUUCAUCCUUCAAUCUCUCUGUCUUAAAUUCAAAUCGUGCAUCCAAAGCUUCUGAAUUUCCAUUCUCUUCGAGUCUUGGUUGGAGACAAAAUUAGGUUGAACACCGCAUAACUAAAUGAUCUUUGUUACCGAUAAUCCCGCUAGAUUGAUAACUCCAAACGGGUCUUUGUCGGGUAAGGAAAGGUAUGAUCAUGAUUUUAAAUUGCGGUCGUGGAUGCGGUUGCGUGUGUUGUGGUUGCUGUGAUACGUAUUGUAGCCAUUGUGGCGUGAAUUUUGAUUGAAAGAUAUAUGAAAUUGAAAAAUUCUUGAUGUUAAUCUUUUAUGUAAAUUGAGAUUUUUGGUUCUCAAACUUUGAGUUACGAUGAAAAUAUGUGAAGAAAUAUUGGUGAAGUUGUUUGAUACGAAUUCUAACGUGGUUGGAUGAAUGAUUUUAAAUCACACCGCAAUUGCGGCCUGAUGCGGAUGCGGAGACUACCGCAUCAACAAUAUUGAGGCCGCAAUUGCAGUUGCGGAUCGCAAUUUAAAACCAUGGGUAUGAUUUUGCUUAACUUAUCCACAACCACCCAAAUCAAAACAUGAUUGUUGUGCGCAAAAGGUAAAGUCACAACGGAGAUUCACCGAGAUAAAUGUCUUACUUCCAUCUAGCCUCUUCAAUGGUUAUAACAAUUCACCUUAAAUAUCGCUUCUCUAAAAACCAUUGGAUGACACAAUAAACAUUUAACCAUAUACAACCCGCAAAGUUCUUCUCAUACCAGGUCGCCAACAAUUCUUCUUCAGACUUUGGUGGGUCUUUGAAGAACCAGAGGGAAAAGAACUUUGCUUUUGUGAGCUUCUCUCAGAAGAUACUUUAACUUGAAGUCACAAUCUUGUGAAUACUCCAUCUGUUGAACCAGCUCAAGAUACAGUCUAUUUAAUCUGAUAUCGUUCACUAAUCUAAACGGAAUAGCCAUGUGUCAAGCUAGUAAAGAUAUGACAAUCCCAUACAACCCCAUCUUGAAAUUUACGCACAAAGAUCCGUUAAUAUCCUGACGAACAAAAGGACGUCCCCAAUUGCAUAACUUCAUAGUUACUCACACAACUAUAACCACCCAUGGUCUUCCUAUAAACAUAGUAUCGGCAUUUGGUUUAUCCCACUGCCACAUACACAUGAGUUAUGACAUGCAUGGUCCCUCUACAUUUAGAAAGAUCCGGAAGUGAAGGUACUUCCCCUGUAGCUCGUAGGUCAUGGACUUCACGGGUAGUUCUCAGAUGUCGAGUGUGACGUGCAGAUUAUUGAUUGUUCUAUUCUAUCUCAUAGGAACUCUAGUCCACAUCUCAUGAGCAUAUAACCGGACAUUGGGACUGGGAUCAUUAUGAUCCUACACUUGAGUGAAAAGGAUAACUCACAUAUCGCAUGCACAAUAGUGGUAUUGUGGCACCAUACUUGUAUGACAACACUAACAUGGAGGUUUAACUUUGAGGCCAUGUACUCAGUGAACUGCCCAACGUUGUACGACGAUCUCUACACGUACCGUAUCAUUACGAUAGUCAGAUAACUGAAUAGGUCUCCUUUUAGGCCAUGCCUCUCUAGUCCUUCCAGUCCCAAUCUUGAGGAAUACCAAAAUUCAAAAGUCCCACACUCUAGGGUUCACCCAUUCGGGAGACGAUCGAGUAAGGUUUGGCUUUAUGAUACUAGCUUACAACGUUAUGCUAUGUAUGUGAUCAUUCACACAGUACAUGCAUACGGGAUAUCCAAGGGCUAUCAAAAAAUUGUGCAUACUAUGGUUUAAGUUUUGACAUUAGGGUCCACAACCAUCAUGCUAAUGGUAUAAAAUAGCCACUAGUCUUUAUCCAUCUAAUCGUCCAACACCUAGCGUGAUUCUACGGUCUUAUUCAGAAUUACAUGAAUCAUAACUAGCUUGGAAUAUGAUCUCCUUCGGUCAGUACUCAAUUUCUGAUACUCCAUGAGUAAGUGUAGCAUUCAAGAUGAUUGGCAAGCUAUUAAACUUCCACUCACCAAGUUUAGUAUAAAGGGUCUUUGAUUCCACUAACAUUGGGUAAGACUCGUGUCAGUUUAUGGUCAUACCUAGUGUAGGAGUCACAACAUUUAGUAACGUUUUCAACCUUUUACAAGGUCGUCUUCAUCAAAUAUGAUAUAAUUGAAUAGAGUUAGAAACUAACUCUUCGUCCUUUCAAGCACGUAACACCCACCCGAUCAAUCAGAAAAAUCUUGGUCCUCUGCCUCAAACACAUGAUAGUUUUUCAUUCGUCCAACAGGUCUUUCAUUUAUCGCUCGUAAUUGGUAAUGACCAUUGGAUAAGGAAUUAUAACUGAUUCAAAGCCCAAUCUUUUCACGAAAUUCCCUCGUUGGAUUUUCUUGUAGGUGCCUUUUGGAUUCUCCACUUAGGAGAAAUCAUCACCAUGUGACUUGUUUCUCGAAAUAGAACCCUUUGACCAUCAAGCCUUGCACCUCAAUGUGUUCUUCUUUCCAAUUGAUUCAUUUGCUAGACAGACCAUCUGAAAGAUUCACUUCCUUCUAAUAGAAAUUCUUGAAUGUUUCUUGUUCCUUGGCUCUUGUACUGGGGUCUGAGGUCGUCUACCACUUUGUGUCUGAUGCACCAUUCAUGCCUGAAAAUUCUCAACAUUCCCUUAAUCAACCAGCUUCUACUACUUGAGUUUGAGUCACCUUCGAUCUUAUGCAUCCUCGCAACGGCUAUGUCGUGAUCUCGCCUAUCAUGUAUAAAGUUAAUGAGUUGAUGAGGCUCAACGACUGAAUAUUAUGAUAGUAGAAAUGAGACUAGCAACACACACUUAUGAGGAACAAGAGAGUUGCUAGUGAUGUCUCAUUGUUGGGUCGGGAAUCGACUUGCUAUGAUAUCAACUUUAACAACCUAGAUAAUAUGUGUCUAGAAUUAUACUAUAUGGAAUAUUAAACCGGUAUUGAGUACAAUCAAAAGCGUUUAAAUGACAUCUAAUACAUGUAAUAAAAAAGUACAAGACAAUCAAAAUACAUGACAGAAACAUUUAAUACAAUAAAAUACUACAUAUAGGUAAUAACAUAGUGGAAAAAUGUAAAUAGCUUAUGCCUCCAAGUCUUUGAGACAUCGCGCCUUUAUUUUCUUUCCGAGAUGAGCUACCUGAAAUAUUAAUAUAGGGUGAGAUACAACUUAUCCCAGUCAAGUUCUCAUAUCUUAGAAGUCCUUUCACCCAUAAGGUGUCCUAAUAGUCAUUUGUGACUCUAGUGAAUUAUUCCUUACAGGAUUUCAACAAUCCAUGGGUACUAGGACAAGCUCCGUGCAUGAGGGAGUACUUUGCCAAUUACCACUUAUUUAAGACCAUUUUUAUACCAUAGAAGUAGCUGAAACUAGGGAUACCAUGAAUGGGAUAAGUGGGUAAUCUUCCAUGAUCAGUCAGGGUUAGUCAUUAUUCAUUAUCCUUGUUCAUUAUACCCAAAAUAAUUCAUCAUCAAGUCUCUAUUAAAGCCUAUGCUUCCUUAGAUUAUUUUCUCAUACACAAAACAUGGUUCUCCAAUGAUUGGUAUAACAUUAGUCAUUAGUAGUUAGUCCUAAUCAUUAAUUCUUGAUUACAACUUAUUUAAGGUUGAGGCGUACCCUAGAAGCAACUGAAACUAGGAUACACGUGAGGUUAAGCGAGUAACCCUUCAUUAUUGUCGAGGUCAUGGUCAUUAGUCACUGAUUUCCACUUAUUCAAGGUCGAGGUGUACCCUAUAAGCAGAUGAAAUUAGGGUACCUAUGAGUAUAAGUAGGAAAUUUAUCAUUAUUCAUGGAUCCUUUCGGUAGUAUCAGGGUACCAAUCAUUAGAAGAAUGUCACAUAGGUCUAGUGCUUGAGGCGUCGGGUCACCAUAUGCAUUAGCCAGUCAUCAUGAACAAUCAUACAUUCAAUGAUUUACAAUUACUCCAGCAUGUGAUAACUCCCUAAAUGAGCUUUCCAAAGCACUUGAUCGCGUCUCAUUCUGAGUUACGGAACUUAAGAUACGCUAAAAUAUGUGUUGCUAAGAUUUAUGCACUAAAAGUCUCGUUAUGUGAGGUCAAAACGAGCUCUCUCUUAGCCAACCAUCUGUGGCUAAGCGAAAAAACCAUAAAUCCUAGUUUUCCCAUCCUUGAAGCCUCACUAAGCGAGCCCCUCGUGGCUAAGCAAGAAAAUCAGUCCAUAAUGUGUUUUUACCUCUUAAACCCAUAAUUUUCAUGCUCAUACAUACUCUAAACCUACCCAAAUACACAAUAAACAUAGGAUAUCAAAACACACAUGUAUAACACAAAUUUUACAAGAAAACACAAAUAUAUAACAUGCAAUUCUCGAAUCAUACUCCAACCCUAAUUCCCCCACCAUGCAAGUCCAUUCCUAAGGGAUUCUACCCAACUAGCUAAAGAACCCAACCUUGCUUAAAAGGAACGUGAAUUGAGAAAGGAUGUGGUGAAGAUUGUAACACCUUGAAUUCAAUUAAUUAAUUUACUUUAAUUUCCUUUGCUUUUAUUUAAUUAUUUGGGUGAUUUAAUACACUUUUAAUUAUUUGCUUUAGUGAUAGAAUGUGUUAUGUGAUUAUUUGACAUUUAUUGGGGUUUGGUAGAAUUUAAUAGAGUUUUAUUUCAUUAAAAUAAUAUAAUAAUAAUAAAAUAAGAGAAAUUGUGAGAUUUGGGUAGAAAUUAGAAUUUUGGUAAAGUAUGAGUACUAAGGAGAGGAGAGUACACAAGAGUUGGGGGGAUAAAAGUGUGAAAAGGGAAAUUAAUUAUAUUUUUAAGUUAAAAUAAAUAGUAAAGGGAGAGGAGCCAAAAUUUGUCAAUAUGUAGAUUUGAUAAAGAAGGCAAGUGUGAGUGAAGGAGAACAAGGGCUUAAGGGAUAAGAAGAACACCAUAGCCAAACUGUUUUGUUGCUGGAAAUUCAUGUAAUGGGGGACUACUUUAAUAUAGGUGUUAUUGUAUGAAGGAUAGAGAGUGCUCCUCACCCUUCUUUAGGUUUUUCUCCAUUGUUGUGUUUCAUGAGUUUUGAUGAUGAUUGUACAAAAUCCAUGUUAAUUGACAUGUUUAAUGAUGUCUUCAUAAGAAAUGAGGUAUUCAAGUAGAAAAGAGAUUCCAGAGUCUAACAAGGGGCAGCCACUCGUAGUGCCAAUUUACUAUCAACAACCUCUAUUUGUUCCUCCUCCAAUUCAUAAUCAAAAUUACAAUCAUAAUCGAACAAUUCCCCUAAGGCCAUCUCAAUUUGAUCCGAUUCUAAUGGCAUACACUAAAUUUCUUCCUCAUUUUAUUCAAAGAGCUUUAGUAUUCCCCAUGAAGCUUAAUCCAUUAGUGACGUACCCAUCUAACUUCAAACACAAUGCUAUAUGUGAGUACCAUGAUGGAUCGUCAGGGCAUACCACUAAAAACUGCAAGGCCUUCAAGUAUGUGGUACAAGAGCUGAUUGAUCAAAAGAUGUUGUCAUUUUUAGAUGUAGUGAACAAAACUACGUCAUUGAGCUACAAUAUCACCACCCACACAAGUGGAAACACAAAAGAAGCAGGGAAUGGAUCCGAAGAGGCUGCGUCUUGUGAAGAAUCUGAGAGAGAAGACUCAAAGGAUUGUCACAUUGGUUCUGAAAAGCAUGAUGACCUCAACCCGUGGGUCGGGAAAGGUCGGUAAUUAAUGAAUAAAGAAAAGAGAGUUCAUCCUUAACUGGAAAUCAUCUGGCUAUUUCCGUUUUCAUUUUGCAUUUCCCUUGCAUGUUGAAUGUUUAUUUUUCUUUUAAGUAUUGUUAUUUUCUUUCAAUGGUAAUAUUAAUGAAGUGACCAUGCAUUUUAUGAAUCAAUCAUGUCAUAUUCACUCAUCCAGUAGAGUCGCCAGCUGUCGCGGUGCGAAAAUUCCCAAGCGUAAGGGACACUCAAAAUAUAAACAAAACAGAGUCCCCACCAAAGUUUAUUUAUUCCCGAAGAGGGAAAGGGGAAAUAUCGAUAAAACCCACAAAAAAUUAAAAAAAAUGGUCGUUGCAACCAAAUCGGGUUCGAGAGUCAAUUAUGUAAGGGAAAUGUAUUAUCACCCCUCAUAUUUAUUGUACUCAACGAAACUCAUUUAGUUAGUUUCGUGUAAGAGUGUUAGCGUGAUAUUAUUUAUGAUAUUCUACUUAUCGAGUGAGAAAAGAGAAAGAAAGGAAAGGAAAGACUUAUGGGUUUCUUAAUGUUAAUGUGCCUCACAAGAUUUCGCAAUCCUGCUCCUACGUAUCUUCAGGUGCUAUGAAGAACUCAAGGCUACGUAGUUCUGCUAAAAGAGAACUACUGGAUUGAUUGCUUUUAGAGAGUGAUGCUUAGAUCAUAUUUGAGCGAUUAAACCUUUACUUGUUGCUCGCUCUUGAAGGCUGAAGUUUUUGUUUCACAUCGAAAUGGAUGUAGCAUGAAAAUGUUUUCAGGGUUAGACAAAGGCGGAAAACAAGUUUGAGUUGAUUUUAAGCGGAGACAGACAUCCAAGCAGGGAGCUCUACUGCAGUACUCAAAUGCCCGAAAAGGAAGAGACUUAAGCCCAAUCAUUCUCUUUUCAUCAAAAAAUUUAUUUAUGAAAAUGUGUGGUGAAUUAAGUCAAAGUUUAUUAAUGAAAGACAAUUAUUCAGAUAAGGAGUUCUACUGAGUGCCCAAAUAAUCGGGAAAAAGAAGGUUGAUACCCAAUCAAUUUUUUUUCUUUCAUAGAAAUGACUUAAUUCACAUCAUUAUUGUAUUUUAAUAUGGAAGACGAAUGUUCAAACGUGGAGCUAUACAACAGUAUCCUAACAUUUUAAAAGCUUAAUCAGUUUCUAAUCAGUUUCUUCCAUUUUAUUGUAAAAGCUUUUAAAAACAGGGGGGCGACUUGACGUUGAAUCAAGUGUCUGAAGCUGAUUUAUGAAAAUAAUUUGGAUGUGGCAGGGGCUUCUCGACUUUGUAUUCAAUUUGGGAAAAAGGACUCGAUGUUUGAUUGAGUGUUUGCUUUUUCGUUCUUUUCUAAAAAGAGUUGAUUUUAAUCUUUGAAUUAACAAUCAACUAACAAUAAAAAAUAAGUAAAAACGGUAAACUUAUUACACAAAUUACGGGAAUUGGGGUACAAUUUAUUGAUUUUAAUCUUCAAUACUAAUUUUCACGUCAUGAUACAUAUUCAGGAUCUUUUAGUUGAGAAAACAAUUUCACAAACUUCUAGUUCUGAAUAGACAAUAAAUAUAUGCAUUGUCUUUUAGUUGAUGCAACAACUAAAAGUGAAUUGAAUAUCCAAUGUAUAACAAACUAAUAUAUCUGUUUAUAUAUAUAUAUAAGAGACAACUCAUUUUUUAAAUUCAUUGAAUAAUGUAUUUGAUCCGUUUAUAGACUAGAUAAAUUAACUAUUCAAUGAAUCUAAAAAAUAAUAAAUUAUUCAAGAAUUAUAUAAAAUUGUUAUUUUUUGUUAUCCUUCUAAAAUACUUAAUUUUUCAAAAACUAUAUAAUAAUUUUCUUUUUUUUUUAUAUCCUUUAGGAUGUUUGAUAAAUUUAUCAUGAAUUAUAAAAUAUAUACAUUAUUGUAUGGGUAAUGCUAAGGGCAUAAGAUAAGAAUUAAAGAAAGUAAUAUUGUAUUGAAAAUUAUGCAUUAAUUUUAAUAAAAAGAUAAAAUUAAUUUUUUAAUUGUUUUUUCCAAUAUAAAUUUUUUAUAAGUAGUUUUCUUAUCUUGUGUCCAGGGAUACAAAUUAGCAUCAUCCUUAUUUUAUAAUCGUGAGUUUAAUUGAAAUACGUCGAUAAUAUAAAAGGAUUUUACACCGUCAGUUAAUUAUAGACGUCGGAUAUUAAAAGAAGUUUGACUUUUAUUUUAAAAAUUUAUAAAGUAAUACAAACGGAUGAUGGUGAUGAAUCGACGAUGUAAAACUUUUUACACUGACAGUGUAUAGUAAUUAAUCUUUAUAAUCAUUCAUGAAUAUUUAAUUAUUCAAUAAUAUAUAAUAUAAUCUCAUAAUUUAAUGAGAGAUGUAAAAAAUAAAAUAAAACAAAGAAUCAAUAUUACAAUAAUAUAAUAAAAGAGUAGAAAAAAAUGACAGAAAGCAAUUAAAAUUAUUAAUAUGAGCCACGACAUUUAUAACAAAUAAAAAAUCAAUAUGAAAUUUUCUAAUGCUAACUUGUGCCCCAAGGACACAUGUUAAGAAACCCACAAAUAGAAAAUUUGUUUUGGAAAAAUAAAUAAAAUUAUUAAUAAUAAAUUUCUAAUAAAUUCAAUUCACAUUUUUUAAGAAUUUAUUUCUAUAUUCAUCUCUUAACUUGUGUCCCUAACUUGUGUCCUUGGGGCACAAGUUAUGAUUAGCAAUAUUAUAUAUUAUGGAAGAUUAUAAGAGUAAACCUGACUACUAGUGGAUGGGGAAUUUGAGGUAACGAAGGAAUUCAAAUGAAGGGGUAAAAUGGUAAUUAUAUCAAUUUUGUAUAUAACUCAAAUGGACUCGUGGAAUCCUCAUAUUUUCCAAUCCCCUCUCACUCAAAAUUAAAAACAAGAACAACUUUAGAGAGAUAGAGAGAAGAUGAUAGGGCGAGCAAUGAAGAGGGAAAAAGAGGUUGGAGUAGAAUUAACUCGCAUGUCCAAUUGGUAUGAAUUCUUGAUAGAGUGAAGAGGAAAUCUUGAAGAAGUUGCAAUGCUGAUUGGAUUAAGGAAGCAUCAUCAUCUCCUCGUCACACUCAAUAGGAUACGAAUUCAGAAUUAAGAAGGAAGAAGAUUGAAUCAAACUUGGAGAAAUCUCAAUUUGCAUACGAAGAGCUCUUGGAAGAAGGAGCAUUGAAUAUUGCUAUCAUCAUUAAUCAUCUUCACCACCUCCUUUCUCAAUUCAUGUUCUUUUUAAGCAAGGCGGGGUUCUUUAGCUAGGUGUUUAUAAUCCCUUAGGAAUGGAAUUGCAUGAUGGGGCAAUUGGGAAUUGGAGUGUGAUUCUUGAAUCACAUGUUAUAUAUUUGUGUUUGACUGUAAAAAUUUGUGCUAUACAUGUUUGUAUUGAUAUCCUAUGUUUGUUGUGUAUUUAGGUAGGUUUAGAAUAGUAUAAAAAUGUAAAUUUUGGACUUAAGAGUUAAAAACACAUUAUGGACUGGUUUUCUCGUUUAGCCACGAGGGGCUCGCUUAGUAAGACUUCAAGGAUGAAAAAAACAGGGGUCUCUGACUUUCUCGCUUAGCCAUGAAUGGCUGACUAAGUGAGAGCUCACUUUGACCUCACCUAGCGAGACUUUUGAUGUAUAAUAUUUAGCAGCACUGACUUUAACGUAUCUUGAAUUUCGUAAUUCGGAAUGAAACGCGAUCAAAUGGUGGAGUAAUUGUAAUCCAUCGAACAUAUAUUUAUUUAUGAUGACUGACCAAUGUAUAUGGUGAUCCGACGCCUCAAGGACUAGACCCGUGUGACUUUCUUCUAAUGAUUGGUACCCUAAUACUACCGAAAGGAUCCAUGAAUAAUGACCAAUUUCCCAUUUAGCCUCACUGGUACCCUAGUUUUAGCUGCUUAUAGGGUACACCUCCACCUUGAAUAAGUGGAAGUCGGUGGCUAAUGAUCAUGACCUUAACAAUAAUGACGAAUUACUCACUUGACCUCACAUGUAUCCUAGUUUAAGUUGCUUCUAGGUAUGCAUUAACCUUAAAUAAGUGGUAAUAAAUAAUUAAUGAUGAGGACUGAUUACUAAUGACUAAUGUUAUACCAAUCAUUGGAGAACCAUGUUUUGUGUAUGAGAAAAUAAUGUAAGGAACCAUAAGCUUUAAUAGAGAUUUGAUGCUAAAUUAUUCUGAGUAUAGUGUGCAAGGAUAAUGAAUAAUGACUAACCCUUGCUGAUCACUGUGGAUUACUCACUUAGCCCAUUCAUGAUAUCCAUAGUUUCCGCUGCUUCUAUGGUAUAAAACUGGCCUUAAAUAAGUGGUAAUUGAUAAAAUACUCCCUCAUGCACGGGACUUGUCCAGAUACCCAUGGAUUGUUGAAAUACCGUAAGGAAUAAUUCACAAAUGACUAUUAGGACACCUUAUAAUCGAGAGGACUUCUAAGAUAAGAGAACUCCAAUGAAAUAAAUUGUACCUCACCCAUUAAUAUUUCAGGUAGCUCAUUUGAAAAAGAAAAUAAAGGUCCGAUAUCUCGAAGACGUGUAAGGUAGAAAUUAUUUACGUUUUUCCGCCGUGUUAUUACCUAUCUGUAAUAUUUUAUUGUAUCAAAUGUUUAUGUCAUGUAUUUGUACUGCCUUAUACUUGUUUAUUACAUGCGUUAGAAUGUUAUUUAGACACUUUUAAUUGUAUUCAGUAUAGUUUAACAUUCCAGAUAAUAUAUUUCUAGCAAACGUAUUAUUUGAGUUGUUACACUAGGCCUCUAAGCCAUGGCAUGAGAAGAUUUAAAAUUCAGUGUUGAAUUUAAGUGAGGUGAAAAUAAUUCUAUUAACACGAAUAAAAAUCCUGGUUAAAAAAACGGUAUUUGUCAUUCUAAUUUUAAAGUAAAUAAAUGAUAUAACCAUAAACGCACACAUUCUUAGAAUUUGUGACGUUAAUUUAAACAAAUUGUAAUUUCCUCUCAACAAAACAAAAAAAUAAAAAUAAAAUCAGACUUUACUUUAGUUGAUGUAUAUUUGGCAAAGUGUAACUUUGCAUUUAAAAAGGGAGAAUAAGGAAUACGUAAGUACAAAAACUAUAAUUUAUUAUCUUUCUUUCCGCUGAAUUUGACACGAAAAAUAUAUUAUCAUAACAGUUAUACAAAUGUCCAUCAUACAUGACAAAAUCUGUGUAACCAAAAUUGAAAGGGCCCUGUAUUCAUCCCUUGUUAAGGGAGCAUAAACUUUCUAUGUCUAAAGAAUUAAGGGUGGUGAGUGAGUAAUAAUCGAUACAGAAGUAUAUAGCCAACCUUUUGGCAAUUAGCAGUAUUAAGAAACACUUCAUAUUCCAAGGCCGUCUGGCGUGACAGUAGCUCUACUGUCGCAUAAUAACUUCAAUUUCUGCACAUUACACCACAUUAGGAGAAUCAAUUGUGCUAUAUAUAAGUUUCUGUUAAUAAAUAUGUCUUCUGAUAAAAGACCUUUGACUUCAAACAACUUGGAAGAUGUUAAUUCAUAAAAGACCUUUGACUUCAAACAACUUGGAAGAUGUUAAUUCAUAAAAGACCUUUGACUUCAAACAACUUGGAAGAUGUUAAUUCAUAAAAGACCUAUGACUUCAUUAAUCGAAAAGAAAGAAGCCUUCAAUAGCAUAGAACAGCUUAGAAGAUGAUCAACUAAUAUAAUCAUGACAUUGCUCAUAUAAAAGUCUGCAUUAUGAGAGCUCUGUAUUAUUCCUGGGGAGGAAAUUGCAAAAAGUGAUGGAGUUAUUACCGUAAGAUAUUGCGAAGGAUCAUCCAUGGAGGUAGUGCCUAGGAUUACUUCUCUUCUCAGUUUUGUUGUCAUUUUGUGACAAACACGUAGCUGAAAACAACACAAUAAUCACAAGAUGGGAUUACAAUUGCAAAAUCCAGGAUAUGGUUGCAGAAGUUUUUUAUCAUAUUUACCUCAGAUCGAGUAGCCCCGCCAAUAAUAAACACAAAGAUUCUCUUUCCCAUCUUCUUGAAAUCAGCAGCUACGUUCUUUAACGUGGAGUCACUGGAAUAUUGAAAAAGCUAUCUGUUCAGGCUAAAAUUGUAUCCAUUUGAAUGCAGAUUUCAUUUCCUUUAAAGAGACAUUUAUGUUUAGGUAAUAGUUCAUGUCACCUUGAAUAUCCAUCGUCAGAAGUACGUGACUUAGCCCAGUUGGCUGUCCGCCUAGAUCUCAUUGAAUGAGGAGGGGCUGUUGGAGCUGGAGCUAUCUGAGUGCUCUUGCUAUUUCGAGCAGAGUUUCCUUUGGGAACGGGAAUUGGUUCAUUUUUACAUGCAUAUUCACCCUUUGGCAGUUCUCCCUUAUUAAGACUUUCAAUGAGCUCCUGACAGAUGAAAUGGUAGCUAUGAUUUACAUUUGAUCAUAUGCAAUAGUAAAACUAGUCAUGUCAUAAGUAAACAACAAUAUUUCUUACGCAAUUUCCUUACCGUGUUUAAAUCAGAUUUUUCUCAUUCAGUUCCACAACAACAAAACUUUUCUCAUUAGGUAUGGUUCAUAGAUGGCUUUUCAUAUGUUUACGUCCACUUGUCCCAAUUCAAUCUAAUAUACUUUGACAUAUAGAGAGGAAAAAUUUAUUGGAAGGCAAGUGUGAAACUCUGAACAAAUCAACUAUUGACAUUUUGUGAUAAAUAUAGUGGAAAAACUAUUUAAUUUUAUAGAUAAUUUGAUGCGAAAUAAAGCAUUCAGACAGGGGCAUGAAAUAGAACAUUUUGCAAUACAAUACCACCCUCAACUUGAAAUAUCUAAUAUCCUUAAUGAAAAGGAAUCCAUAAAUCAUAUAUUUUUAUUGUUGUUUCUUAAGUAUAUAGAUCCUCACUUGACAUAUUUGUUUAUUUAUUUUACUUCUAUCAGCACGAAAUGAAUAUAUAUGUUUACCUUCUGGUUACUGAACUUCAGUGAGAAAGCACCAGCAGCAGAUGCCUUCUUUGUUGAUGAUCCCGCCAGCAGUUGCAUAUUACUGAUAACUUUCAUGUCAUCGGGUGAUAGUUUUGCCAACUAGUUAGAUAAACAAAACCAUCAAUAACAUUUGCUUACUACAGUUUUUUUUCUUUGAGUUAUAGUAUUGCAUUCAUUCAUAGAUGCUGACUGCCUAAAAAAAAUCAGACUGGACCUUAGAAAUCAAACAUAUCAAGCAAUGUAACAGGCAACCUACUCAUUCAUAGAUGCUGACUGCCUAAAAAAAAUCAGACUGGACCUUAGAAAUCAAACAUAUCAAGCAAUGUAACAGGCAACCUACUUUUUCCUGAGUCGUAGACGCCUCAUCCAAAUUUAUUUAUGAUGUAGCUAUAAACAAAGAGAUCCAUACCCAUAUACAGAGAUAGUUUUCAAAAUAAGACAUGAAUAUCUUGCAAUUCAGAGCUUAGCACAGUCGCAGAAGUUUAAUUCAGUCAAUUUUUGCUACCAAUCUUCUAAAGAACAUGAAUCUGAUCAGAAUUUGAACAUCUUUACUGGUUUUGUAGUCAGGAAAAGCAGGAAUAUCAAGCAUAUUUUAAAAUCAUAAACCUAGUAAAGAAACAUAAUUUGUAGAAUUCAUGAACCAUGUAGAAUUCAUAGGUGUUGGUAUCAACCUGCAUUAGCUUUAAACCUUUAUCACCCUCAAACUUUUCAGGGUAGACAGAUGCAUAGAUCAUCAACAACCGCAACUUAUAUUCAGGAGUUGUAUUCUGCACGCCGAAAAUUCUUUUAUAAGGAAAUUGUACAUAAUGUGUUAAGAUGCAUAUUAUAUUGCCUAAUCGGAGAUAUGGAUUCAGUACAAGACCUGCUUUGUUCUUAAAAAGUUAAUAACGUCCUUGGCUGCAGCAUCCCCAAAAACAAGAUCUUGCUCCAACUGUCCAAGCUCUCGAAGUGCUGCGUCUCUGAUGAUUGUGUUGAUCUUUCCAGCUAUCUACUUUGAAUUAAUAAAAAGCAGAGUGGUCAGAAUAGAUUACACAAAGAAAACAAAACAACGCUCGGUAUAGUUGAAUUUUCUCAAUUAUGUUACAGCUGUUUGUGUGUCUUGGCGGGCACAGCAUAUCGAAAAUUAUGCAAUUUCAGUCCUCUUACAUUCCAUUGCCAUUAUUCUUAUUUCUUAAGUUGCAAUCAAAUACUCCUCCUCGAUAACUAAGAUUUUUUUAAAAAAAAAAGUAAGUAAGAUGGAAAAACUCAAUCACCUCUACAUGGAGUGAAAUCUUUUCUACUUGCUCAGUGUAUUGGGGCAAAGCUUGAACCAUUUUUUGCAAAUCCCGCGUAGAUAUUUCACCACCAUCUCUGCAAAAUAUCAAAGCUAUAAGUCAAAAGUCAAAAGUGCUUAUCCCACUAUAGACAAGCGCAAUGAUGCCAUUGGUGUUGAGAAGCAUUUUAACAAGCCAUUAACCUGAGAGACUAUAAAUCUUUCCUUCUGUAUGUAAUUAAUGUAUCUUAGUUUUAGUUUUCAAUUUCAUUAUACAAACUAUAAGCUAGGUUUGGGUUCAGUGUAUUUACAUUAAUAAGAGAAGUUCAGAUGUGAUUACUCUUAUUAGAGCAAUAUAUGUUCUGUUGUUUGUAACGUGCAAUUACUGGUGAUAGAGUACCUAUAAAUGUACCAUUUCUGCAUUUGAGCAAAAAAUCUAUAUUUUGAUCCAGUUACUCAACAUAGUACAAAAUUUGAUAUCCAGACCCGUUUUUAACUCAGCAUGUUAACUGGUGGUUAGUUAAAUGAAAUUGAAAUAAUUUUUUUCCUACACUGUAUUAGUUUUGGAAAAUAAUAAAUUGAAAAUAUUAGCUAAAUACUUAAAUUAGCUAUAGAAAUUUGCAAUAUUGCAUGAGAUACAAAAUACAUUCAUUCUAAAAUAAGAGAGACAAAAUACUUUGUAAUUCAUGCAAUAUUAAAUCCAAUGCAAUAUACUAGUAUAGAAUAAGAGGUUAUUCCCAAGAUAGAGUGAUAGGACCCUGAGUCCGAACCUUAGUCUAGUAAGAGUUAGUUAGGAUAUAUCCUUUAUUUUAGGGAUAUUCUGUUAUAAAAGAGAGGGGAAGGGAUUAGGGAAUUCAUUCAGAAAUAUUGUUAGAAAGUUGUUAGGAGAGUUACUCUCUGGUCCAGGAGCAAUUCUGCUCUGGUUUAUCAUUUCUUGUUUCAUUUUCACCAUUGUAAGAGCUCAUCUUUGACAUUCAAUAGAAUACAAUUUGGUUAUCUUGAUUUUAUGGUUCUAUCAUAAAGUUUUGCUCAAACAAGCUAUAUAUAUAAAAGAAAUAAUGACAAUACAUUGACAGCUAGGACCUGAAUUUAGACUGGCAUUUAACAAAACAGAUGCUAUUUUUCAUGAAACAAGGAUUAAGGUGCCAGUGAGAACCUUCCACUUUGUUGCAUUUGUGCUGCUUUGUUCUUUGAUACAAAGGUGGUAAACUUUUCAUGCAAUCUUUCACUAGCCUGGAAUUUCAGAUGAUAAAAGAGCAUUGAGAUUUGAUUUCAGACAAAUUAAAUGCGUGUAGAUAAAGAGCGAACAAGAUGUACAUCUGCUAUAUGUGAAUGGCGAAGUUCGAGCCAGACUGAGUCGUGUUCUUCUAGAACGAC